GUAAGCAUAUCUAGGAUUCUAAUGCUAUGAAUAUGUGUGUGCCUGCCCUUGUCGAAUGAGGACCUACAUAUAUUCUAGAGUAGUACUUGUUAAUUGCGAUUAACAUGUGAACCAAUUUCUAGGAUAAGUAAGACAACGCCAGUACUUACGAUGCAUUGUGAUGACUCAAACUCUUUUCGUUCUUAAUGAUUUCUACUUGUUAAAUCUAUGAACACGCCAUUCUAGAUUGCAUGCUAGGGACUAAGUUAAGUUGAAAAUGUCAUUCUCUUGACAUACUACGUAAGAAAGAGUAAUAGGUUGAGUUCUAACAUUGAGCCAACUUGAGCAUCUUCAUCCGGAAAUAAAAGGAAUUUGAAUGAAACAUAACAUGUUUGCAUGAUUAUUUGGUGGUGGAUAGCAAUUCCCCUAACUCGUUUUUCUUAAUUUAUGAACUAUUUAAAAUUUGUUUCUGUCCUGUUUUUGUUCGAUUUAAUUUAAAUAGCAAAUCAACUCCAAAAAUCCCAAACAUUUGUGUGAGUGUAGCUCUUUGUGUCUAGUAUCUGUAUAUAAAAUUUCGUAGAAUUUGGAUAAGUGUAAGUCGGUCUAAUAAUUAUUUUUCGGUGACUGGUCAGUAGGGACAGCAACCAGUUUUUGUGACAUUUUAAGUAGUUAGAUAAAACAAUCUUCUACGGGAAAAACCCUUAUUUUCAUAUGCUACAAUUGACAAAUCUUAUUGUUAAUAAGGAAAAUCAAUAGGACAUUUGUGUGCUACUUUGUAGUGUGCUUUUAAUCCUAUCAAUAUACAAACAUGUUUGAUGGUUGGAUCGUUGAAAAUAGUUUCGUAGAAUGCGUGUAUCUCAUCAAAACAAUAGAUUCACUAAGACUUAAAAGUUUAUUCAUACUUUCAUUAAGUAUAGCAUAAGAUUUUUUUUGUAUGCACUAGUUGUGGAGCCAAAAAUAAUCACAAGGCGACACGUGGAUUUUUGACAAAAAAAGACAAAACUACCCUUGAGGUAUACCGGGAUUCCUACGUGCAAUCAGCAGACAAUUAUCCUUCAACCAAGUCAAAAGUACCCAAAAUAGGUAUCAACUUAAAACCUAAUUUAUUCAUAUAUUUCCCAUUUCAUUAUUUAGCUAAUCAAUUAGCUAAAUAAUAUACUUAUUCCUUUCAUAUUUCCUAAAAUUGACUAAUUAAGGGAUUAAUUACCUAAUCAAUCCCUUAAUUAUCAACUAAACCUCCAAAUUAUAACCAAAACCCCACUAGGGCCGGCCAUGCCCUUUAUUUUCUGUUUGUUGCUGCCAUUUUCUCCCCCUUUUUAUGACAUUCAAAUAGCUAGUUAAUUAGGUUAUUACUAUUUGCUAAUUAACUAGCCAAUUAUUUCCAUAACUCCCCAAAAUAACUAGCCCAUUAUCUCCAUAACCCCCCAAAAUAAAUCACCAUUUCCUCUCCUAUAAAUUGGGUCCCAUUUUCACAAAACACUGGUUCCAAUUCUCUUACAAAAAAUCUCAAAUAUUCUAAACACUAUUUCUCUCUAAAAUUCUAACUUUGGCAUCGGAGGUUCUUCGGCCAAAGCCCCCCCCAUUCAUCGUGGGCGCGUGAGGCUCUUGACCUUAACCUAAGGUGCUAGUUGUUUUGUAGGUGCAAAAUCGUCCAAGAUCGAAGCGGAGAAAAUUUGCAUCCACACUAGUGUAAAUAUUUUAAAUUGAAGAUCAAAUUCAAUCAUUGUAUUCAUAUAGGGUCAAGGAGAGUAGCUGCAAAAAAUCAUCAAAAUCGGAGUUAAAAUGACCGUUAAAUCGUGAUUUUUCGUUUUAUAACCGUCGAAAAGUUUUGUCCCGUUCCUUGAUCUCUGAAUGUUUGUUUUUUGCAAUUUUUGGCGUAUGUGAUCUCGAAGUAUAUACAAACAUGUUUGACAGUUGGAUCAUUGAAACUAGUUUCCUAGAAUGAGUAUCUCAUCAAAACAAUAGAUUCACUAAUACUUAAGAGUUUAUUCAUACUUUCAUUAAGUAUAACAUAAGAUUUUGUGGUAUCCACUAGUGUAAAUAUUUUAAAUUAAAGAUCAAAUUCAUUCAUUGUAUUUAUAUAGGGUCAAGGAGUGUAGCUAUAAAAAAUCAUUAAAAUCAGAGUUAAAAUAACCGUUAAAUCGUGAUUUUUCGUUUAUAAUCGUCGAAAAGUUUGUUCUGUUAUUUUAUCUCUGAAUGUUUGUUUUUUGCAAUUUUUGGCGUAUGCGAUCUCGAAGUAUAUACAAACAUGUUUGACGGUUGGAUCAUUGAAACUAGUUUCGUAGAAUGAGUAUCCCAUCAAAACAAUAGAUUCACUAAUACUUAAGAGUUUAUUCAUACUUUCAUUAAGUAUAACAUAAGAUUUUGUGGUAUCCACUAGUGUAAAUAUUUUAAAUUGAAGAUCAAAUUCAUUCAUUGUAGUGUAACUGUAAAAAAUCAUCAAAAUUGGAGUUAAAAUAACCGUUAAAUCGUGAUUUUUCGUUUAUAACCGUCGAAAAGUUUUGUCAUGUUACUUUAUCUCUGAAUGUUUGUUUUUUGCAAUUUUUGGCGUAUGCGAUCUCGAAGUAUAUACAAACAUGUUUGACGGUUGGAUCAUUGAAACUAGCUUCGUAGAAUGAGUAUCCCAUCAAAACAAUAGAUUCACUAAUACUUAAGAGUUUAUUCAUACUUUCAUUAAGUAUAACAUAAGAUUUGUGGUAUCCACUAGUGUAAAUAUUUUAAAUUGAAGAUCAAAUUCAUUCAUUGUAUUCAUAUAGGAUUAAGGAGUGUAGCUAUAAAAAAUAAUCAAAAUCGGAGUUAAAAUAAUCGUUAAAUCGUGAUUUUUUGUUUUAUAACCAUCGAAAAGUUUUGUUCGGUUACUUAAUCUCUGAAUGUUUGUUUUUUGCGAUUUUUUGCUGAUACGAUCUCCAAGCAUAUACAAACAAGUUUGACGGUUGGAUUGUUGAAAUUAGUUUUGUAUAAUUCGUAUCCCAUCAAGUUCAAUGGUGUGUGUGUAUAUAUAUAUAUUUAUUUAUUAAGUAGAUUUAAAUCUAUUUAUGUUGUACGUGUAAUUGACCAGUACACGGAGUAGUACAUCACGUGUCAUUAUAAAAAUAGUGGGAUAUGUCAUAUGUGUGAUAAAAAGUUAAUAACUUAAAAAAAAAAAAAAAAAAAUUUCUCACCACUUUUAUUAAUUUUCAUUUUCCCCUCUCUUUUUUGUUUCAUUUUCAGCUUUUCUUAUAAUUUCAUUUUUCCCUUCCUUCUUUUUCUUCAAAGGGCAGCAGCCUACCCAUCUUUCCCUCUCUUUUUUUGUUUCAUUUUCAGCUUUUCUUAUAAUUUUCAUUUUCCCUCCCUUUUUCUUCAAAUGGUGUGGCAGGAAUGGAAUGGAAUUAUGGAUCAAUGGAUGCAUAUUAAUUAAUAAUUAUUAUAGUUUUUAUAAAAUUUAAUUUAAAAUUUAAUAUAUAUAUAUAUAUUUAUAGUUAAUAUUUUGGGGGUAUAAUUAUUAUAGUAUAUAUAAUUAUUAUAAUUAUUAUAGUUAAUUAAUAUAUAUAUAUGUAUAUAUUUAUUAUAGUUUUUAGGGGUAUAAAAUUGUUAAAUUAAUAUAUAUAUAUAUAAUUAUUAUAGUAUUUUUUUAGGGUUAUAAAAUUAUAAAAUUAAUAUUCUGCUUAUCGUGUAUUGUGUUACCCACGUGUAUACCCGAAUCAACCCGUUAUCUUAACAGAUGCUUAUCGGGUUACCCGAUAAUGACCCGAUUCGUUAUCGUGUCGACUCAAACACCUGUUAAUUUCGUGACAUAUCGUGUCGGGUUAUCGGGUCGUGUCAGGAAUUGUCAGGCCUAAUUAUGACUCAGAGGCUUGUGUGAAUGUCAUGAAUUGGGUAAAUUAGAGAUUGUAAGAGCCCGAAAUUUUUAUUUUCCGCUUGUCCAUUUAAAAUACAAGAGAAAUCAGUAAUCGGAAUAAUUUUAGAACUCGUUUCAACCCAUUCUAAGUUAGCAUGCCAUAAAGUUGAAAUAACGCAAUUAGUCCUCAUUAUACUUGACGCGCCACAGUUAUCUUAUGGGAAAGCUUUUGAUCCAAUUUGACACUUCAUCUAUUCCAAUUUAUUCAAUGCAUACCAUCAGGUUGCCUACAUGUAUGUUGCGAUAAUGUCAAUAAGUUAAUGGAAAUUUUGUGAGUCUUUUCGAUCAUCGGAAGGGGUGGAUAACCGUGGCUUACUACCAGUUAUUCCUCUUUUAAAAUUUAAAAAAAAAAUUAAUAGAAACUUGGCCUCCUAAGACCAUCUCCAACCCUUGGUUAAAACCUAAAAUGUUUAAGCCCCAAAAUUUAGGUUUUAAAAAUAUUCAGAUUCCGAAAAUAUAACAUCCAUAGUCACUUACAUAUGGUGGGUGUCAAGAUGAUAACACUUAUACCCCUUCUAAUGAGUGGAAAAACCAACAAAUACACACCGAAGUGCACACUGAACAAGUUUACUUCAAUGAAUCUUUUGAAUAUGAACAUACAUUACACACCUAAACACUCGAGGAAUGAGCGUAUUUGUUGACACUGCCAAAGCAUGUUGGGUGAGUUUUUGAAGAGGUCUGAAAACCGACAACUCGGGAUGGCAUACGGUUGAUUACAUAAACUGCAUAAGUGGCUGCUUCAGGCAAAAAACGCUUAGGAACAAAAGGACCAAUGAGCAAGGCACGGGCAGUUUCAAGAAUAUGGAGAUUUUUCCUCUCAGCCACCCCAUUUGUGGAGUGUGAGGACAUGUCGUUUCAUGAAUAGUUCAUUGAUUACGAAGAAAUUUGGACACCUCAAAAUUAAUAUAUUCACCUCCAUUAUCAGAGCGAAGAACUUUAAUAAUGAAGGAAUAUUGAGUCUGAAUAAUCUGAGAAAAAGACUGAACCACCAUACUAACAUCACUCUUAUUUUUCAUCACAUACAAACAAGUCAUAUGAGUGCAAUCAUCAACGAACGUAACAAACUAUUUAAGUCUAGAAGAAAUACUAAUAGGGGAUGGUCCCCAAACAUCAGAAUGCACAAGAUCAAACGGAAACAUUCUUUUAUUCAUACUUGGAGUAAACAAAGCACGAUGGCUUUUAACAAGAAUACAUAUUUCACAUUGUAAGUCUGAUUCAAUUAUUUCACGAAAUAAACUAGGCAACAUACGCUUUAAAUAACCAAAAGACACAUGGCCCAACUGGCGAUACAAUAACCAAACUUCUUGUAAAUUACUAGCACGAGAUGCUCAAACCGCAUUAGCUCUUCGAGGAACGAUGUCAUCCACAUAAUACAACCUCUCUCUCUUAGUACCACACCUAAUUAUCUCCUUGGUCUGAAUAUCCUGAGGUACAAAGGGACGGAUACAUUAUACAACACAAUCCAACUGCUCAGUAACUUGUGGUAUAGAUAAUAGAUGAUGUAACGAAAGAGAGGGUGUAAGACACACUAUUCCUGCUCCAAUAACCAGAGCAGUAGUGCCAUUGGCAGUAGCUAUGCGCUUUUUACGAGAUAUUGUCAUAUAUUGAAACAAAGUUUUAUUGUAAGUCAUAUAAUUCGUUGCAUUAGAGUCGAGAAUCCAACCUAAAUGAUGAUCAGUAUCAGAGGCUAAAAGAACAUGUCCCACAAUACCUGUAUUAAACGAUGAUUCACCAGUACAAGUCAACAGAGACUGACUCAAAUCACUAAAAGGUAACUAGGUUUCCUUAAUACUGCUCAGUGUGGUUGUGGCUAAGGAUGACGUCCUCCACUUGUUCCAUUAUUUGCACACUCAUUUUCUCGCAAACGUUUCUUCAACUCUGAAAACCAUUCGGGUACUCUAUGCUUCGCAAAACUUGUAUCCUCAGUGUGGCAGGUUUGACCACAGAAAGCACACUUUAAAUCAUCUUUGUUUUCUUUUCUCUCUUCGUUUGCCACGUGGCAUCACCCCAACUCAUCCUCUAUCUCUCUCUCUUGCCCCGAGACUCACUCAUCUCACUUUUUUCUCUCACUCUAUCACUCUCCCCAUUUCUCAUAGAUCAAAGCCGCACCCAUUCACACCCUUAUAAGCACCCCGAUGACGGCGCAUCACCACCACCACCCUCGUAGACCUCUCAUUCCUCUCCACCUUCUUCGUGAAGCUUUGGAGUACCCAGAGAACACCAAACCCAAGUCCCAUGAAUUGUGGGUGUGCAAGUCCAAAUCCGGCCAUCUUUGGCAGUUUCACGGUAAACCUCAGGUACCAACUUCUCCCUCUCACCUCUACCUUUAAUUUUAUUGGUAGAUCGUAAGUUAUGGUGACCAAAUGAUGACGAUCGGAGCCCGAGAAGCUCUAGCUUCCUUCCCCAACGAGUAACGGGUCGAAUGACCCAAGCUUAGUGAACAAGGUCCUUUGGGCCGUUUAGGAGUCGGGACUUAAGCCCGUUAGCCAUUAUGCCUAAACCCAAAAUCCUUUUACCUAUUUAUUUUUAUUUAAACCCAAAACCCUUUUGUUGGGCCAGGCCUUCAGCCCAAGACCAAAGGGUUUCGGCUCAUAAGCUCUUAAGCCCAAAACCCAAAACCCUUUGCUUUGGGCCGGGCUUUCAAGCACAGGCCCCUUGAACCAAAACCCAUCAGAUAAGGCCUUUGGGCCUUGGAACCCAAGCCCACUCCUUUAGGCCUAGCCCUGUCCAACCCUAAGCCUAAACCGGUUGACUCGGUUUGACCCGACCUGGUUGACCCGUUAACUUUGACCCUGUUGACCAGGUCUGGCCGUUGACUUUAACUUUGACCCGGUCAACCAUCCGCGUUGACUUUGACUUUAACCGGUCAACCAUCCGCGUUAACUUUGACUUUAACCGGUCAACAGUCAAUGUUGACUUUUUGGUAGUUUUUCAGGUUUUCGUUUGGGACCCCUCAUAGGCUAAUUUCGACGUCUUAGACCCUUUUAUGACAUCUGUUUUCCCAAAUUCAUUCGUUUAAGUAUAGUUUUAUUAAUUGGACCCUUUAUAUGCUUAGGUGCAUAAAUUAUAGCAAAUCCGUCUUCGCUAGUUUGCGUGGCUCUUCGGCAACAAUGUAUCUGUGAGUGGACCCCUUCUAAAAUGCAUGUUUUAAUAGUAGAAAUGCAUACAUGAAAAACACGAUUUAAUGAUUACAUUUUAUGAAAUGUUUUAUGAGAUAUUAUGCUUACUUAGAAUAUUUUGGAAUACCAUAUUUUCUAUCGAACCUAUGUCCUUUGUAGGGUAUCUGAUGGAUGACAAUAUAAUAUUGUUUGGACCCAAAUUUUUACCAUCAACCCAUGCAAUCAUGGCCGUUGAGUGAGCAUAGCUCUCAAUCGUUGGAUGGAAAAGUGGAGAUAAUUUUGGUCAUUAUUAAAGGAUAAUAUUAUGAUUUUUUUAUCAUAAUAAUUAUCUUUUAAUAUGCAUUAUCCUAGCGUUUUCUUCAACCAGAUAAAUAUGAUGUGAAUUAUAUCCCAAGCGAGCAGUAUAGUUUAAGUUGAUUUGGGAUAUCUGACGGUACAUGGAAGCUAAAAAUGAAUUUGAAAUGCAUUCAGAUAGGGUCAGGAUGCAUGCCACAAUAAAGGUGAUGGCUUUGCGUGAUGAUGAGACAAGCCUAGAAAGGCUAGUUUUGUAAUGAUGACAUAGGAAACCUAGGAGUCUUGGAUGAUGGGAUGGCGUGAUCAGAUGGGUUUUGAAGGGAUAAUGAAAGAAUAUUUUUUUAUUUUCCAAUAUGGUCAAAACAAAUGUAUCAGAUAAGAGGAUUAGGAAGUAAAGAUGAGAAUGAUUAGUCAAAGAAUGGGGUUGCAUGCAGACUGCAGGUCUGGGUCUGUGAUGAUGCGAUUUCGUUGGUGCAUAAGGCUCCAGGAAAGCUUUGAAGUUUUGGUCACGUGGAAGGUGUUAUAGUUUGUAAGUUUUCAACAUUAUCUUUAAGAAAUUGGGAUAUAUGUGUAAUGAAUUAUCAUGGAGAAAGUGAACGGCAAAGGGAUAUGGCGCGUAUAACUUGGGAUAGAGUUUUAUUGGACUCUACAGACACUCUGGCCAUGCCAAGGAAAUACCCAACCCUAUAAAUACAAGACUCGGUGCAACGGAAGAGCCUCCUUUAACUCAACACACAAAUUGCCCUGCGCAAACCCUCGCUCUAUGCGAAACCUCUCAAACAUCUUGAGAUUUUUAUUUUCUUUUUCGCCAACACAUCUUUAGUUUGGAUAAACAACACUGUGAAGGUAACCGGCCAACAUCUUCAGUUUGGAUAAACAACACUGUUGCCGUAGAAUUAGCCAACCACGGAGCACCUUCAAUUUGGAUAAACAACACUGCGUCGAGGCCGACUGGUUAUCUAUCCAAGUCUCGGUCGAGAAGGAUUUUUGAAUCUUUAUUGGCAGAUGUCAUCUCAUUAGCCUUCUCGACGAAGUGAGGUGUUACAAAUUAUUACAUUCGGCACAUUGAAAGCCUAAUUUGAUAUUGAACUUCGCAGAACUAGUAGCCUUGUCUUCAGGCUCUAAAACCCGAAGGUCGAUAAGUGUUCGCUCAUCGGUCGCAAUCGAGAUUCAGAAGUCAGCAGCACACCCAACGCAACAUCAACAAAUUUUACUCACUGGCCAAGCUCGGCCGUCUAGUUGGCAUGCCCUGCACAUAACCGAAUGAUGUAGUUAGCUUAUUAAUUACUCGGCCUGCGCACCGCGUAGGCUUAGUAGUUUUUAGGGUCAACAACUAUUUAGAACAUGUUUUUAAACACUUCUUUAUAGUAUAGAUGAUGGAUGACUUUAUACUAUGAAUAUGUUUUUGAGAUAUAUGUACUUGUGUUUGGAAAAACUAUGUUAAAUGGUUUUGUGCUUAUCUAGUGGUCACUAUUUAGCUAUGGGUGAGGUUUAUGAUGUUGGCAUGUGGGCCGGGAGAAAUAAUCCCUAGCUUCAGGUAAAAGGACAUGGAGCUGCCAAGGGGCCUGAAGAAAUAAUCUCUGGCUUCGGGUCGAGAGACAUGGAGCUGGCAAUGGGCUAGGAGAUAUUAUUAUUUGAUACCACUAUUUAUCACACUAUAUACGAGAUGUGUUUUAUGUGAUGUUUUAUUGCAUGAUAGGGUUUUCGAAAAAACCUACCACUUAUUAUGCUAUUAGUUUUCAUAAAGCUUUGGGGGUUAGUAUGUUGAUAACUGUUUUAUUAUAUAUGUAUAUCAACUUGGUCCACUCAUGUUUGUUUUGCACCGCUUCAGGAUUUAGAUUCAAGGCAUAUGAUCCCGGCGUCAAGGCACAUCCAUAUCGGCAUCUUCGAGUCCUCUCGGUGUAGGACCCAUUCUUUUAUUCAUUCAAUUUUAUAUUAUUUCUUUUAGUGUUCUUGUUAGUUGUAUGCUCUGAACACGUUCCUCAUUUGCAUAUUAAUUAUAUUUAAAUUUCUUUUAUCUUAUUCAUAUUUUAGUUCUCAUAUUUUCAAUAAAUGGUUUUCAUCACCCUCGGGUGUCGGCCAGCAUGUGACCAUUCCGAUGUCCCACGAACAUCAGGAUCGGGACGUGUCAACUACAAACCUUAUCAAACAUAUCAUCUAGAUCUACUAAAAAGCAUAAACUCGGUCCAGUUGGAUUUCUUCUCAAAGUGUCUUCAAAUCAUGAGCACACUUCUUCUUUAUUGGUCUGCUUUAAUCCAACUCCUGCCACAUUGACUUGAGAUCAAUGUUGUAAACACCAAUAGGACAUCCUUCCUGACGAAGUCGGAACGACUUAACCUUCAGUUCCUAAAUCUGGGAGAUGUCAGAGCCAUCGUAAUAUGUUCGAGCAACCUCUUCCCAUACUUUGGUUGUGCAAAGGUGAAUGAAAAAUCCCAUGACAGUAGGAUCCAUAAAAUUAAUCAACCACCCUUUCACAAUUACAUUCCCUGUCUCCCACGUCUCAUACUCAGCACUGCCUUAAUUCAGUUCCUUGAUACUUCCUGUCACGAAUCCCUUCUUACCGUGUCCACUGAUAUGCAUCUCCAACACUUUGGAUCAAAGGGGAUAGUUCGAUCCAUUGAGUUUGAUAACACUCAGCACAGCAGAAGCAUCAUUCUGAAUUACCACAAAGUUAAGGACAUACUAACUAGUUGAACCAACGAUUCCACCCCCAGAUUUCUGUUCUGAGCCUCUCUCCUUAUCGUUUAGCAUUGUUGUAUCGUAGCAUAGUCACGGAAGCACAACAUCACACUCACGAUAGCACAACAGCACACACACAGAGCAAGAACAGCGAACAUAGUUCUUGCAGACACAAUAGCGGCACGAUAAAAAAAAUUUAUAGUUAAAGUUACGACAAACCAAGGUCGAAUGCCAAAUGGAAUUAUAUGGCUGAAUUACUAAUUUCUUAUUAUUCACAAGAUUAAGAAUAUAUAUACACAAUCCUUGUUCCACAAGGAAACAUAAAAGGACACAAAAUAUAUUCUUCCUAAUAAAGGACUCCUAAAAUAUUUACAUAAACUUUACAUCCUUAAUUAAGACUCAUGUUAACAGGAUUCAUAUGGGAAGUGAGGGAAUAUAUUGUCCAAGUUAGUUGCUGAGGAAAAAAAGAGUCAGUCAAUUUGAUUUUGUAGCAAGUUUUAUAGGUCUCUUGGGAAUUCGCCUAUGCAUCAAUUUUGAAGUUUGCAAUUUUUAAUGCUUAUCUCUAGUUGCCGAGGAGGAGUUACAUAGUAUGAGUAUACUGCCAGGAUGGUCCUGUGUCAACGUAAAUAAAGUUGUGUCCAUAUUUAUUCACAGUUUACAUGCAACUCCACGCAAUAGUGCAAUGCACUCGUGUUAUGUAAGUUAUUGUUAUUAUCCUAGUUACCUAUAUAAUCCAUAUAUAUCAUGUGAGCACAUAGUAAAGCGGCUGAUUUAGAACGAUUGGGACAACGAUUGAGAAAAACAAAGGGAAGUUUAAUGAAAAGCACCUGGUACUGUUCACUUUAAUGAAAAACCACAUUUUUACACUAAAAAGUCAAUCCUGGUACUAUUCACUUUACCCUUUAUUUUGUCCUUAUUAUUAAAACUCAAAAUUUUCAAACCAUUUUCAUUAGUUUUCCUAAAAACAAAAGGAAAAAGAAAUAAAUUUGGUUCGAACAAGGCAGAUUUAUGGGAAGUCCAUCUUGAACAUAUCUUUUUGGGCUCCAAGUAAAAGAGUCAGAGGCCCAAUUCCAAUAAAGGAAACAAACUCCCUAAUUAGAAAAAUCUUAUCAUCUCACUAAAGGUUAGAAGUAGGGGUGAGUUUGGUCGGAUCAGAUUGGAAGCAAGCAUUCGUAUCAUAUAUUUGUUCCAGUUUCGGAAAUUUGGAUUAUCAGAAUUUAUUGGAAAUUUUGGAAUUAGUUUUCUCUCAGAAUUUUCGGAACUUGAUUUAGAUCUCUUAUAUUUUGCAAGACUGAGAUUUUUUUUUUAACUUGUAUGAUUGCACUAUGCAAUAUUUUCUUUUUUAUGACAUAAGACCAUAUUAGAUACGAUUAAAUAGUAUGUAUGAUUAUACUCUUUAUUUUUAGAAUAUAAUAAUAUGAUUAAAUAUACAAAAUAUGAGAUAAAACAUACUAAAUAUAAUAACAAACAUGAUAAAAUAAGAAUAUGCAUAAUUUUUUUUUAAAGGAACAAGUUUGAGAAAUUUGAAAUCGGAUAGGUACAUUCCAAUGGCCAUUCAAUUUUGUUGAAAAUUUUGGGAAUCAAUAAUGUUUGGACUCAGAAUGGAAAUUUUCUGUUUAGAUUGGAAUCUCUAAUCCAACUUUCACCUCCUAGUUAGAAGGAAAGGAAGGAGACAAUGAAUCUCGUAGAUAAGGAAGCAAAAGCUCACGCUGCCAAACCACAAUUCUAACGGAGUCAUUAUGACUCUGAGGCUUGUGUGAAUGUCAUGAAUUGGGAAGAGAUUUCUCUCUAACUUAAUUUAGUUCAGUAGUAAAUUAGAGAUUGUAACGUGGGAGCUCGAAAUUUUUAUUUUUCGCUUGUCCAUUUAAAAUACAAGAGAAAUCAGUAAUCAGAAUAAUUUUAGUACUCGUCUGAACCCAUUCUAAGCUAGCAUGCCAUAAAGUUGAAAUAACGCAACUAGUCCUCCUUAUACUUGACCCGCCACGGUUAUCAUAUGGAAAGGUUUUUGAUCCCAUUUGACACUUCAUCUAUUCCAAUUUAUUCUAUGCAUACCAUCAGGUUGCCUACAUGUAUGUUGUGAUAAUGUCAAUAAGAUUAAUAGAAACUUUGUGAGUCUUUCUCGUUCCCGGAAUAGGUGGAUAAUCGUGGCUUGCUACCAGUUAUUUCUCUUUUAAAAUUAAAAUAAAAAAGAUUAAUAGAAACUUGGCCUCCCAUGACCAUCUCCAACCCUUGGUUAAAACCUAAAAUGUUUAAGCCCGAAAAUUUAGGUUUUGAACCCAAACAGUUUUUCUGCUCCAACCUUGCUAGUUAAAUUUUUAACCCGAAAUUAGGAUAAUGUUUUUAGUAAAGUAACUUUAAAAAAAAUUAUGUAGGCUAUUGUAAUUUAUUUUUAUGAAUAUUUUAACCUAAAAAUAUUUAGAUUCUGAUCAAUAUUGAAAAAUUACUAAACCGACACCAAAAAACUCGUGGAACACUAUGAAAGAAUAUGAAACACAUGAAAAAUUAAAUUAAAUUAAAUUAUUUUAGUUGUUGAAUUUAAAUUUGGACAGUUAGAUUUUUUUUUUUUUUUUUUUACCGUUGGAUUUAAUCAUAAUAAAUUUUAGCCAUCAAUGAAUUUAUAAAUAUAAAACUAUGCCCACUAACCCAGGGGAAUACUGGGCUAAAUUUUCCCCCAAAAUGAGUCUUGGUUAAAAAACAUAUCACGCUCAAGGGUUGAAACAAGUUGGGGUAGGUUUAGAACCUAAAAUUUGUGUUUUACACAAAGAGUUGGAGUAAGUCUAAGAGCAAAAGGGAUCUUGAUGAUGAGAAAUUCCUGUGUUUUGGAGCCGUUGAAUCACAUUUAUCGUCAAUGGAGCGGAACGGAAUGGAACAGUGUUGCGGGCGGAAGCCCUGGGUGCUUGGGGUGAUGGAUGAUGUUUUAUAGCAGCAGCAAUAGUAGCAGUAGCAGCAGCAGCCGCAGUAACUGCUUGCUUUAUUUCGUUCUGUCUUGUUUUCUAUGCGUACACGAUUUGAACUAGACCCAAAUAAGAAUAGGGAGACUAGGAGUCAAUGAGAAGAGAAUUCAUCUCUCUCCCUUUCCGGUUGUUACCAUUUACUUGGUUGAGAAUCUAAUGACUCAAUAAAUACAAGAAAACUUGCCUAACUUUGACCGCAAAACCAACUCUUCUUUCAAACUCUUUGACCCAAAAGAAAAACUUGGACUCACUGAUGUGACAAAUAAAGAAAAAUAAUACGUCCCCUUUGAAAGGUGGACGUAUCUCUUGCAGAGGAUAAUGAUUCGAAGCCAAUCACGCGAAACUGUGUGAACAAGUCAAAGCAAAUCACGACGAGAUGCGUGGAGCGUAAGAUAUUAUGGUUGCAUGUAAGUUCUUCUCUCGUGCAUCGUGUAUGUGAUGUACAACAGUACAAGAUUUAAGAAAGAGGAAUUUUAGAUUAAAGCAUGCAAAGCCAGCCAUCCAGCAUCAACUAAAGCGGGGGAAUCCCAUACAUCGAUGCACUGUAGAAUUUUUGACAAUAAAGAUUCCUUCAGUGUAUCGGUGUACGUAAUGCAAUGUAUAGGAAGAAUAGUUGAUGGCAGGCAAAUCUAGCACUUUGAAUAUUGGUGUUGAUAGCAUAAGGAACAAGCAAAGGGUACAUAAAAACCAUCACAUAUAUAGAUGUCUUCUGUGUACACAUUACAUAACUACACAUGCCAACAUCGACUUCAGCAACCGGAAAAAUGUUUCCGGCAUUUCAACAAAAGUACGGAACAACGGAUUGGGUUUUCCAGUCCUUUAUUGGCUCUACUCAAUACCGCAACUAGAUAACCUAUAUACUUGGAUGAGGAAGUUACAGUUCAAGUUUCGAGGGUUAUAAACAUCUAACAAGUUCGACAGAUAUAAGCAACUAAACGUAAUCCAUAACACACCCCCCCCCCUCCCACCAACACAUAGGUUGGAGCAGUCAUCUAAACACCAAACAAGUCCGACUGAUAAAAAGAGCAACUAAACUUAAAAAGAAGCUUCACCUAUUCGGUCCGCAACUGUGUAACUCCAACACAUUGGAGCAGUCAAUAUAAGAAAACCCCACUUCAUUGGAACCAAGGGGGUGCAUCUUGCUUCAGCGGAGCGUCCAUAACAUUAUAAUCAGCUGGUGCCAAGUGCAAGGGGGAGUCGAAUCUCAUGUCGACGUUUUCAAUGGGAUUGUUUCCAAAUGGAGAAUCAAAUGCGAUGCACUGAUCAAACUGAACUUCCUGGGAUGCGAAACCUGGAUGAAGCAUAGGCAUGGGGGCCGGUUCAGACAUGUUGAUGUUGCAUCCUGUAUCCACCCCUUGACCAAAAAAGUUAUCAUUCAUUGGCAAUUGAUAUUUCGACUGCUGCUGGUUGCGGUUAUCUACGAUAUGGAGGUUUCCAGGAUUGCAGUUCUUGUUCUGCUGAACAUUACUAUCAUAGAAUGACAUAAGCUCAGAUAUCAUUUUCUGCCCAUCAUCAACUCCCGAAGCAUUAAACCUACUGGCCUGGUUCACUGAUUGUUGAAUUGUGGGUGCAGGUGGUUGAGCAAUGGGUAGAGAGUAGCCCACAGAUUUCUCAUUGUGAAGCUGAAAGCUUGACAUUCCAAACACUUGAGAAGAAUUACUGCGGUAUUGACAGUUCAUCUGGUGAUUGUUUCUUGCAGUUAUGUUGAGAAAGCCUAGGCGAUAAUCAUGAUACGGGCACUGUGGAUAUUCACAGGUGUAAAUUUUCUGAUUUAACAUCAUUUGUGGCUCUUCAGACAGCUGCUUCCUCUUUUGACCAAAAUCUGAGUUGAUCUCAAUCAGCUCUCCCUUAAUCUGAGGUACCAGCAUCUCUCUUUGACCAGUGGUUCCAAUGUUGAAGUGAUUUACAAGAGGUUUGCAAUCCUCUGUUUCAACAUUUUCGUCAUCAUCAACACCUUCGACAUCAUAAUCACUGGUACCACUGAUGGUGAGAGACCCACCACCAGCAGCCAGUGGAGGUGGACAUCUAUCAGGAUAUAACCUUCGGGCCAAAGCUUCCUCCUGGUUUAUAAUAGCUAGCCAAGUGGCGCUCUCCUUAGCAGUCAUUUUGUCUUGCAAACACUUGGACUGACGAACUAGCUUGCGGAUCUUGGCAAUAUCUGGUGACAUGUGCUUUAUCACAGCUGUGAGGACGCCAACCUUCCAAGCCUUCUUCAGAUCAUGAGGCUUCUUGUAUGGGGGAGGACCCUGAUCCUUGGGCAGAUUUAAUUGAGGCCACCAAUCCUCAUUACCAGUAGGCCACCAAGGUGGGGCAACACCUUUCUCCAAUGGGAAACGUCUUUGGGGUGGAUCACAGUGCUGCAUCAAAGCCGACAAAAGUGAACCAAGAGUGGUGUCUUGCAGCUCCUGUAAAGUGUGAGGAGUGGAUGCCACUACACUGCAGUCUUCAUUCUUCCCAGGGAUUGAAUGAUCUGCCUGAUACUUGGAAAUUGCAGCCGGGCCAUUACGAUCAAAUCUUACUUUUUCCUUCCACCAUGCUCGCAGAUUGUCUGAGGCGCCACUCACUGGUUUUCCUUUUUCUGGGAUAAUUCCAUAAACAAAACCCUGAGCUUUGCAAACUUCCAUCAUUUUCAGCAUAUAUUUCAGGAUCCCAUCUUGUGCCCGUGACAUCUUCUUCCUCCGAGCUUGUUCCUGUGAUUGACGCUGUCUCGCAUUGUCAACUCUUUCCUUUCCCUUAGUUUGUUCCUUCAGCCUCUUCAAUAGCAUUCGGUAUCUCCACAUCCUCCUCUCCAGCUCAUCAACAUCCAUUUCUUCAUCACUAUAAUCCUCCUCCACAGUUGCCUCAGGUUCAUGCUCUGGAGCUGCUUCGCCUUCCCCAGAUGGAGCCGAAAGAAAGUCAAGAUUACCACAGAAACCCAUUUCUUCAAAGAUCCCCAUUAGCACCAACACAAAAAACAACCCUGAUUAUAUAAACGGGUAAUCAAAUGCACACCACGUCAACUUCUCUGCCCUUUUCUCACUCUUUAAAAGAUUUCCAAUCUUGCGCACAGUUAUUAGCUUUAAAAUCUCUGAAAGCCAAGGUCCACCGAUAAAGGAUACUCAACCCAACGAAAUCAAAUCUUCUGCAACUACAAUAAAUUACAAUAACUCAGUUAACCACACAAUUGUCGCAAAUCAUAAAUCAGGUACAUUGAACUAGCAGUAAUGAUAAUUCAAUUAAGUAAAUAAUUUUAUAAAUACAAUUAAUCACAAACAAGUAACACAAUAAACAAUUCGGAUUCACUUACACAAACAUACCAUAAAUUAUAUGGGCAACAAACCAAACAAAUAAUGCAUGCAAGCAAACAAAGUAACGUGACGGAUCUCCUGUUUUCACAUUCAAAACGUAAACAAAAAAAGAACCAAAAGAUAAUCCCAACACAUGGCCCUUGUCACUACAAGCAACAAAAGAAGUGACUCUCAAAUAACCGAGCAAAAAGAGAAAACAAUAAAAAAAGGAAAAUAAAAUAUCCAUCAUCAUCCCGAAAAUCAAGAGGUAGUCACAAAAAAAACCAAAUUUAAGUUACACGUAACACCCUGCAACUUCGAACACCGCUACCAUGUAGAGAACCAGGCACCUCCAGAUCUACUAUCAUCCAGAUUCAUUUUCCUUACAGUAACACGUUAUUGAUGAGUAUUGAGAGGACUAAGUUUUGGGUUUUUAAUUUUUGUUUACACAAACUGAUAUAGCUUAUAGCACAGGUUUACAGCAAAUUUAUCACAUAUCUAAGCAACAUAAUUCACUUAUUAAUCCUUUUUAUCAUCAUUUAAUAUAAAUCCGAAAAUUCAGGGUAGCCGACUUUCGGAUCAAAAUUUCCAGGUGCUCCUAAGUACGGGAUACUCCGGGUGUUUUAAUCAUUAGAUCUUGGUUUUUGUAUUUUUAAGCAAAGAUCAAAGGCUGUUCAUUCGCAUCCCUCCGUCCAGAUUCAAACUACUCACAUCAAAAUUUUGUGAAAAAAACAGAUUAAAACAAAACAAAGCAGAAAAAACCCUGCAACUAAAAAGAUCAAACAGAAAAUACAAAAAACAAUAUAUAUAUUUAUAUGGUAAACAACAAAAACAAAACCCAGAUAAACAUGUAGAUGCAAGUGAAUAAGAGAAGAACCCUAGAGUUUCUACAAAUCAGAUGCAGUAGGAGCAAUCAGAUCAACCAUCAAAACCCUUGAAAAGUCACAAGAUUUAACAACAAAUAUAUCUAUUUAUUAAUUAAUAUGCAGAUAAGAACAUGUUAACAUAAACCCAAUAUACACAGAACAAUCACAAACAAAACAAUCUAAGAAAAAAAGAAAAGCAGAAAAUGAAGGUACCUGAUUGAUGGAUAUCAAGCGGUGGUAUAAGGCAUUGAAGCUCCUCAAGCACUCUCUGAUUACUCAGAGAGGGGGAGAGAGAGGGAGAGAGAGAGAGAGAAAGACACAGAAUUUUUAUCCUUACUGGUCAGAGGAGAGAUAGAGUUUAGUGGGUUUUCUUUUCCUAUGUUAAUGGCAGAAGAAAAUGAGAGAAAGAUAGAAAGAUGGCUGGGUGGGUGGGUGUGUUGGGGAGGGACAAGGAUAUGAACAAGCAAAGCAACGGUAACAGUAACUUUUCUUUUUGGAAGGUGAACUAUCUAACUAGGGUUAGGUUAUCUUUUAACCGUGGUUAAUACGUGGGAAGGAACCACGUGGGGAGACUUUAUUUUUCUUGUCGUUCUUUUUGUUUGUACACUUUUCCCUUCCCUCAAGUCACUUGCUACCUUACGAAACGUGCGCAAAUACUAUUCAAUUCAAAUAGUCAAGUCAUUGAUGUUUACGUUUGGUCAAACCAAAUUUUACCUAAUGUUCUGUAUAUCCAAUUUUAGCUUGUAAUUAUAGAAAAGGAUCUGAUCCGAUCUGAUCCUUUUCUUAGAGAUCUAAAGAAUUCCGUAAUCGUAAUCAUUCAUCGUACAUUGUGCAACUGAUAGCAAAAUUUAAAUUUUCUAAUUAAAUAUAAAUAGUACCCCAAAUCCUUUUCUAGUAAUUAUGUUGUGAAACUCAUCACAAAAGACUAGACUUUAUAUUAUUUUUAAAGGAGAAGUUAAAUACGUCAAUUAAGACUAAAAGACAUUAAGAUUUUUAAAGUGAGAUGUCAUAACUGGCGGAUAGCUGAGUUUUUUUUUUUAAUCAAACGAUUAUCUACACUAAAGGGUCGAGAGAAUAGGUUAAGUCUCAAAAUGAGCUAGCAAUAAUAUAGUUCAACUUCGCAUUUAGCAAAAAUCAAACUUAAAAUCUCUCACUUAUAAGUGAAAAUGAAUACUACUAAAUAAUAAUAAUAAGUGGGGACAAUUGAGUUAUCUGAUUUCUUACUUUCAAACUGUCUUUAUUGAUAACAAACAAAAAUAGAGUUAAACGCCUUUAAUUUAUUUUUACAUAAAUCACAUUGACAACCAAUGAUUAUGAUAACUGAAAUCAAUUUUAGUUAUAUUUUAAUAGUUAAUGUGACCAUUGGCCCAAUGUAUUAAUAAAAAAGUAUUUGACACAUUCAUUCGAGGAAGAAGAUUUAACAUAUAUAUUUAAGAUAAUUUUAACGAAAAUAUCCUGGUACUGUUUAUUUUAACAAAAAAUCACAUUUUUAUACUAAAAAGUCAAUCAUGGUACUAUUCACUUUACCCUUUAUUUUGUCCUUAUCGUUAAAACUCAAAGUUUUCAAAUAUUUUUCAUUAGUUUUCCUUAUAUUUAAGGGAUGUGCUAUCCACACACCCUUUUUUAUUUUUCACACACCCCUUUCAAAAACCAAAAAGGUGUGAGAGAAGUAAAAAAGAGUGUGGAUAUCACACCCCAUAUUUAAUUGGCUACAUUAAUCAUUAAAUAAAAUUUUGACAUAUUAUAUUUAACAUCAAUUUUUUUUAAUAUAAUGAUAUACUAAAUUGUAGUAUUGAACAGUAAUCCACACAUUAUGAGUAAUACUACAGUUAUCGCAUAUUUUUAUCAUCUCUCUAAUAGAGAUAGGGUCCACAAAUACAUGUGAGUCGCAUCUCUAUUAGAUAGUACCAAUGAUUUUAUAAAUAUGUGGUAAGAGUAGCAUUUUUGAAAUAUUAUUAUUAGACCUACUACAACCCUUGGAGUAAAAUUCAAAUUUUAAGUCCUAAACCUACCCAACUUGCUCCAACCCUUGGGCCAAAUAUGAGUUUUAAUCCAAAAUUCAUUAUUUGGGCAAAUUAGAUCAAAAUAUCAUCGGGUCAUUGGCCUGGCGCACCAUAUAUAUGUUUUUAUUUUAAUAUUUAUAAAUUCAUUGAAUUCAAUGGCUAAGAUAUAAUAUAAUCAAAUUUAAUGGUAAAAAAAGAGCUAAAUGUCCAAAUUUAAAUCCAAUGGCUAAAAUAUUUAAAAAUAUUCUUUUAGAGCAACUCUAGCGUUGCAAAUGCCCUAGGGCUAUUCACUAUUGAAUCCACCCAGUAAACAGUAACUGCCCUUAGUGAACAGUAACUGUCUUGCAUCUCCACCCAUACACUGAAUAACACUGGCAAUAGGCAAUAAAAUAUUAGUAUUUUUUUAUUUAUAAAAUAAUACAAAAUAAUUUUAUUUGUAAUUUCGGAUAAGGUAUCAUGAUCGUCAUUGGUAAGAAUACACACAGAUUCCACACCCAUCCAUAACCACCUACUCGAAGUCUCCACUGAUUCUGGCCAAUAUUCUAUUGUCGGCGCCAUUUUUAAUUCCAAUCUCCGUUUACCUCUCUGUCCUCCAUUCUCUCUCAUCGUCUUCCUUUUUUGUCUCUCUUGUUUGUUUCUCCAUCUCCCACCAUAUCCACCGCACGGGUGGUCGAAAUCUUGCAGGCCUUCGAAUCAGAGUCGGUGUCGUCGAUUUUAGUUAGAGAGAGAGCGAUUGUUUGAGGCAAAAUAGAGGAGGAUGGAGAAACAAACAGAGACAAAGAAAGAGGAGAUGGAGGGAUGCCAACGUCGGUGAGAAGAUCGGAAGUAGUGGCGUCAAGGUCGAUGGGUGCCUUAAUAACAUGGAUGAUGUUGCCUUGACGUCAGCCUUGCAUCAUCUCCACCUUGGGCUCUCAAGCCAGCGAUUCCUGCCAGGCCUCUCCCUUGGGCCCCCUUUCAUCCACACGCCUUGCAUGGGUAGGAGCUUGUAGCUCUGGCUAUUGGGUUGGUGGAAUGGCUAGUCCAUCGGGCUAAAGAGCACGGUGGAGUUGCUCUUAGUGUUCCACCAAUUUCAUUGUGUCAGUUUAGCUAUUUUUUUAAUAUUUAUCAGAAUCUAAAUAUUUAGGUUAAAAUGUUCAUAAAGUUAAUAGACAUUGAAGAGCCUUUGACUCACACCACACGGUGUGACAACGUCUCACUAAUUUUUCCUUUGUGGUUGCAAGAACAUCAGAAUGAUUCUAUGCUUGUGGAAUUCGUUCUCCACAUUGUAAAGAAAGAAACUCCGAUUAACUUCAUAGCUAGACUAAUGCAGGUGAGCAUGGGGCAAUUUGAUUUUUUAUUUUAUAUACUAAAUUAUAUGUUUGGCUUUUUUUUUAUAUAAAAUACAGAAAAUGAAAUGACAUGAACUUGGGUUUUACUUUUAAUUGUAAAAGCUUAUUCAAAUGUGCGAAAUUACUAUUUGAACUACAUUAUUAUUAUCUCAUUAUGAUACUUAGCUCAUUUUUUUAUUCUCUUAAUAUAGAUAAUAUUGUUCAUUCAAAAGAAGAAGAAAAAAUGCUUAUUCAAAUGUGUGAAAUUACUAUUUCAUCCUUUAAAUUGUUUUAUUCUAGAAACUAGAGACAAAGUUUGCCUCUCCCCUUAUACGUAGAGAAGACGCCCUCAUCUAUAGUGGUAAGCAAUGCAGUUGACUCAACCAUGUUAUUCAAAUUUAAUAAAAAUGCGUAAAUAAUCACAUGUCAACAACUACAUUAGAUAUGGACAAUAAACCUACCUCAUUAUUUGGCUUCUUCUUUUUAUAAAAGGUGACAAACAAUAUGAACAUUUAGUAAUGUAAAUAAAGUGAAUUACCAAUUUAGUCCUUGAAUUAUUACCUUAAUGAAAAUGAGAUCUCUAAACUAUUUUUUUAGAAAAAUCAAUCUUGAAAUUUUAACGAUCUGCCAAUUCAUCCCUAAUAUUAUAUUCAAACCUACUAUGUUCAAUUUUCCAUCAAUUUAAGUCACAUUACUUGCAUGUGAUACACAUUGGAGGGUAAAUUGGUAGUUUUACAUAAAGAAAUAGUGUAUGAAGUUAACUUUGGAGGGUAAAUUGGUAGUUUUUCAUACAAAAUAGUGUAAGUUAACUUCAGAGAGUAAUUUAUUAGACAUUAGAUUCGCAACCUAUAUGAAGUGUUAAGGGCUUGUAGCCGAGAAAAUAACGAUAUUACACUUUAAAGUGUGCAAGUGACUUAAGUUGAUGAAAAAUUGGAUAAAAUAGCUUUGAAUAUAAUAGUAGGGAUGAAAUUAGCAACUUUUAAUGAAGUUAGGGAUGUAUUUUACCAAAAAAUAAUUUAAGGACUUAAUUUUCAUUGAGGUGAUAGUUCAAUGACUAAAUCGACACUUCACCCAUGUAAAUAAGGUAUAAGUGGUAAUUUGUCAAAAUGGUUGACGAUAUAUCUAAAGGGGUGUGAUAUCUACACACCCCUUUUUAGUUUUCGGCCGUCGGAUCGGAUGAAUUGAAGAAGAUCAACAGACAUAAAUUAGUAAGGGGUGUGUGAGAAGUAAAAAGGGCUGUGUGGUAAAUUAGUAAGGGGUGUGUGAGAAGUAAAAAUGGGUGUGUGGAUAGCACACCCCUAUCUAAAUUAUCCAUUAACAAAACUAAAGGAAAAAAAAAACUAAAAUAAAAAUUAUGGCCAAUAUGGUAAAUUAAACACAACAUUUUUUUUAGAAAGCCUCACAAUCAGGUAAUCAUAUCAGUUGCCUCAUUUUCUCUUCCACAUUAUUCUUCCAAAUAAAAUAAACUUUUAGCGAUGAAAUAGUUAUUUCGAAAUAGUCACUAAAGAUAUGAACAACCUCCUCAUCGAUAAAAUCGUUUGAAGGUCAUACCAAAAAAACUUUAUCGACUAUUAUAUAUAUAUAUAUAUAUAUAUUUGUAAAUUUUAUUUUUAAAAAUUUUAAAAUCACAUGCUUCGUCACUAUUCUAAAAAGCGGUCUAGACACCCGCUUAGGCGAUGGCCAUUGGGCCGCCACCGCGAUUAUCCUAAAAACGUUCAAUAAAUCGGCAAGGGUAUUAGGCGGUCCCUAGGUGGUCGACUUGGCAUGCUAGGCGGCCGUGGUGGCGGACUAGGCAGUUUUGUUCUGUCUCGCCAUUUCACUACAUGUCGUAGAAAAGGAAUAUACAUCAUAAGAUUUGAAGAGAGAGCAAGAUAGUGUGAGGGAAGAGAUAGAGAAUUGUAGAAGAAAUUAAAAAAUAGAUAUGUAAUAUCAUGAAAAAAACGAGAAUUUGAUUUGGACGCUUGAGGUUUCUUUGCCUGGACAUGCAACGUUUGGGGAGUUUUUUUGCUGCUUAGGAAAUUUUGCAGAGCAAAAUAAAUGGAGAAUUAGGUGGAGCGAUCGAACAAAACGAGGAAGAGGACACGGAACAAAACCCAAAAUCAAAAACUUUCGGCUUUUCAAGUCUCAAAAACCAACUCUCCGGUUUCCAAGGCCUUAUCUACACCACAUAUUAAUAAAACCCUGGUUGUCAACCAAAACUUCAUGAAAUUACCAUUUUAACCCCCUCACUAAGACUGAACUCAAUUAAAAAAUUAGGUAAUUUAGUAAUUACAUGAACAUAAAUUUUACUGUUUUUUACAGCAACCUCACAACCAAGUUAGUAUAACAUGCCCUAUUUAAAAAUUUAAAAUAAAAUAAAAAGUAUUCACAUGUUAGAAGAAACCACUCAUCAUUAUCCCAAUUUUCAUAAUAGAAUUUUUUUUUUUAGAAUUUUAAAAACUAAUUCCUCUUCAUAAUAAAAAAAAAGGAAAUGAAAUUGUUCGCACACAGUGUCACAGCUCGUCCCAAAUUUCUAUUAUCGGUGAUGUAAAUGACGGUUUUAACCUUGGACGUUGAACCUUGUAGUGUGUGUGUGACUUAUUUUGGAGACUUAAAUGUUAAUUUUUGUGGUUUUGGAUUGGUGACCCACGUGGACCACACACACAUACAUAUUAUCCCUAUCUAUUUCCUCCCGUGCUCUCUCUCUCUUUCAGACUUUCUCUCUCUUCUCUCUUGUACGAACGACACCCUAGACCUUUCAAACGUGACAGAUCGGGGGACUUAAGCACACCAUUGUGUUCGUGAAGCUCAGACGAAUCGAUUGGUACCAUUUUUAGGUAAGGAAACCUUCGAUUUCACGUGGAAACCCUAGCUCCAAUUUUGGUCACUGUUCAUGUGGACGUAAAAUCUUAUGUUUCAGGGAAUUUUAAGGACAUAGGAAGCUUUAGGACGUCCUUGUGAGGCUCGGAGAUGAAAAAUGGAGUGAAUUGGACGUCGGAGGACUGUGAUCGAAACACUACAAGUUUGGCCGAAAUUAUCGAGCUUGCUCAGGCGUGAUUCAGUGGUUUUCGAGGCUUCAAACAGGUAUAAUGUCGUUCUUCUCAUCUCCAGCUUUCCAAUGGUUCAAGUUUCAUGAAAAAUGGUGAAGAAACGAAGAAGAAUAAGCUUUUUAAAGAUUUACCCAGAAACUGGUGAAGUCGCCGGCGUCUGGUGACUCGUUGGAGAAGAAGGUGGCAUAUUCCGUCAAAACUGACGGAAUAUGCUAACAGCGUUAGCUGAUGCCGUUAAGAUUCUAACGGAAUAUGCUAGAAGUUAAAAGAAUAUUCCUGACGGCGUUAACUGACGCCAUCAGCGUGCCUGGCAUGUGCCCGCGCGUGGGCGGCGCGUCUAGCUGUGCCUUGGUCGACGCGUGGCCUGUCAUACAGACCUUUAUUAUGAUUCCGACUCCUAGAUGACUAGCGAUUUAUCGCCCAACUAUUAUGUGUGAGUAGUAUUGAGCAUGAUUAUAUUACACCCAUUAUUGUCGUACAAACCUUUUCAUUUGGUUCCGACUAUUGUGCAGUAUAAUGCCGUAUAGGUCAUUGUAGUGACUCCGACUAGAUUGACUUUUGAGCUAUGAAUUCAGCCGUACAGACUACCACAGGGGUUCCGGCUAACAUGUUAUAUUUAUAUGAAAUUAUUCUCACCUGAAUUGCUUACUCUGUUAUAUCUUGACAUGGCAUACAUAUGAAUAUGAUAUUGUGAAGCAUGAUUUGAAUUAAUAUAUAUAUAUAUAUAUAUAUGUAUAUGCUUAUAUUCUGAUUCUGGGAAAAAUUAUACAAGUUUUACAGCGAGGGGUUAGAAAUGUUGAUAAAUGAAAUGGUUUUGUAAAACAUUUGUUUUUGCCCACUCAUGCUUUCUGUUUUGCGCCCCUCCAGGUUUUAGGUAAGCUUGCUGUCGGUGGCCUUGAGGAUUUCGGCGGCUCUGAUUAGGAGUACUUACUUUUGUAUCUUACUCCUAUCACUUCUUGUUUAGAAGUGCACUCUAGUAGAUUCGGUUCUAAAUAUUCGUAUAUUUCUUAUCCUUAAUGCUUCCUCACUUUGCACAUGGCUACGUCACCCUCACGUGACGACCAACAUGCCUUGAUCUCGGUCGGGGUAUGUCAGUUUGGUAUCAGAGCCUAGGUUUAACAGUCCUGUAUAGUUCUUGAAAUUCUUAGGAGAAUGUUUUAUUAUUUUCUUUUUCUUUUUUAGAUCACACCAUACCUAAAACUUUCACAUUACAUAUAUAUAUUCUUCACAUAAAAAUAACAUAUUAUUCAUGUUUAUUUAUAUAUUAUAAGAUAAAUUUAGUUUAUUUAUACGAUAUAUGAUAUAUUUACUUAAAUCCGUAUAGACCGUCUAGUCGUUAGGCGCUAGACCCCAUUUCGCCUCCUGACUAGCGCCUAACGUCUUUUAAAACCUUGUUUAUAGUAUGUGUACAAUUACUAGUUAUUACUUCAAUUAUCUAUUAAUUAGAGUUUUUUUGUGUAUCCUUCAUCUUUCAAAUUGAGAGAGUUUGUAUUUUUUUUUUCACAAGCGACAUUAGAAAAUAUGAAAAAUCAAACACAAGACUUUGAGUGCAAAACCAAAUGCAGAUGCGUCGAAAAAUGGGUCAAUGAGCUCACAUGACUCAAAUAACUCUAUAUUACUCCUUGUAAUUCCUACCAGUGAUGUAAAUUUGCCACUAAAUCAUAUUUUUAAGGGCAAAAUUUUUACCUCCAAAGCUUUAUUUAACCUUUCAUUUCAUGACUUUUCAAUCAUGAAAUCAGCUUGAGCUAUAAGUCUCUUGCAUUUGAAAGUGUAGGCAAUUAGUGGAACUGUAAAAAAAAUAAAAUAAAAAAUGCAAUGGUGAAGGGACGCGUCGAAACGUGCGAGAGAGAGAAUUGUCAAAACGUGGAACAACCAAUUACAUAGAUUACUUUAAAUAAUAACUAGUAUGGGCACACACAAAGGGCUCCAGAUCCGCUGUCCCGAAAAUGAUGUCUCCUUCAUGUCUCUUUCUUUAUUUUUUGACAUGUGUACUACCACCUAACUCUAAUUUAACUCUGUUAAGUUUUACUAAAUUAAAAAAAAAAAAUUAGCAGAAGCAACUCCUAGUUUCCAGUCCCUCUGUCCACACACACGCCCACCCCUCCCCCUCCCUUACGCCAGCCCACAGCCAAAACCCCUCCCUUUCCCCCUCCCCUUCCCUUACUCAUCGCAGCCUGACCGUCGUGGACUUGAAACCUGGUACGAACGACGUCAAGGCGGCGAGUCCAGCGAUGGCACCGGCACCAACGGUUUCGCAUUGCCACUACGAUGUCGACGAAAUUUGUAUUUCACGACAGAUCUAGAAGAUUUCAGUGAGAUUGGUGUUUGAAAAUUCUAGAGAGAUUUGUCCCAAACCUUUUGACUUUUCGACCAAUAUGAUUAAAAAAGCUAUGUGAAUCUUAAGCCAAGUGAGAAAGGGGUUUGGCUGUGGGCUGGCAACGAGUAAGGGAAGGGGAGGGGGACGGGCUUUGGCUGUGGGUUGGCGUAAGGGAGGGGGAGGGGUGGGUGUGGGCAGGGACUGGAAACUGGGGAGUUGCUUCUGCUAAUAUUUUUUUUUUUUUACUUUAAUUUUUUUUAAUUCAGUAAAAGUUAACAGAGUUAAAUUAGAGUUAGUGGUAGUACAUGUGUUAAACAAAUAAAGAAUGAGACAUGAAUGAGACACCACUUUCGGGACAGCACAUCCGAAGCCCACACAAAGUGUGUGAGAAAUUUUUUUUUAUUUUUGUUUUUGAAAUAGAAGGAGAUAGGAAGAGAGUGAUAAAGAACGUGGGAGUGAGAAUUUUUUUUUUUAAUUAGAGAUAUGUUAGGAUUACAUGUAAGUGAGACUUUGAAAAGAAAAAAAACAGCAAAAUUUGGUUUUGUGAAAUUACAUUUCUGCCCCAUAUUUCUUAUUCAUGUUCUGUUUUAAUUAGAAGGUUAAACUGGGGGUUAAACUGGUAAUUUCAUAGAGUUUUGGAUGACAAUGAGUGUUUUAUUAAUUAGUAAAUAUAAGAGUACUAUUAAGUCCACUCCAGUGUCUUAUUUCCCCACCUACUUUGAAAUAAUAAUUUUAUUCAUCUAUCCUAAUGUUGCUAAUUGCUUAAUUUGUUUAUGACUUUAGGUACUAGACUGGGAUGAAGACAAUUUGAUGUAUGAAAUGUUGAAAACAAAAAAACUUCAGGGUAGUAAACUGAGAUCAACCCUAAAAAAUAAUUAAAUAAAGAAAUAUUGCCGCUUAGCACUAUGGUAUAGUAUUAUUCCUCACUAGUAAGUGAGAGGUCUUAUGUUCGAAUCUCUUUAAUACCAAUUUAUCUCCCCACCUCCCUAGUGUAAAUAUAAAAUGAGUUAUAUAUAAGUAAAGGGAGUGUGCGUGCUAUGAUUUUAAUUAGAGAAUUGCUUAGUAUGCACCAAUGUAUAUUAUUUAUCAAAAUCUGUGACCGUUGAAUCGUUGAUGUGGAUCUGUUAGUGCACAUUAAUGCUUCAUUUACCUCAUACAUAUUAUACAACAAAACAUAGUAAAAUUUCGAUUAAUUAGACUAAAAAGUUUGAAAUAUCUCAUAAAAAAAAGAUUAAAAAAAAAGAGACAAAUAUACGUAAAAAAUGACCCAUUUUCUUAAUCUUUAGACUAAAAUAAGACAAACCAAUUAUGCACACCAUACCAUACACAUCAAAUUUUAUUCAUUUAUCCUAAUAUUGCUAAUUGCUUAAUUUGUUUAUUGUACAAACCUCUUGUGUGGAGCUUGGGCUGGAAACAUUUUCUGCUUGGUGCCAUGGCUGAGGAUUUGAGGGUGUUGGUAGUUACAAUUAUGGGAUUUUAUAGGGAGGGAGCUGCUGCUUGCUGGUGAUAUUUGAAGUUCUUUUUUUUAGUACAUCGAUAUUUUUAUAUUAUGGGAAAGGAGAGUUUUUUAGUAAUGAUGAUUUUUUUUUAAAAUUAUAAUAAAUUUUCAAAGCAAGGAAAAAUUGAGGAAAAAAUAUGCAAGGUUAUUUUGGAAAUAAUGGUAGGUGGGAAAAGAGUUUAUGUAUUUUUCAACUUUUUAUGGUGAAUAUAAAUAAAGGGUAAAAGACUGUUUACUAUCCUCAUGUUUCGUGGUUUUCAACAUUUAGUACAUCAAGUUUUUUUCGUCUCAGAUUCAUACCUAAAGUGUAAAUUUUGGGAUAGUCUCAUACAUCCGUUAGUCAGACUGUUAAGUCUCCCGUUAACUGUGACGUGGCGCUCAUGUAGACACUAACUGAGCGCCACGUGUCAUCCACGUUUUUUUUUCCUUCUUCUUCUUCUUCUUCCUCCGACUGCAACUUUUUUUUUUGUUUUUUUUUCCUUCCUCCUCCUUCCUUCCUCCUUCUUCCUUUCCCUUUCUUCCCCUUCUUCCUUCUUCUUCCUUCUCCUUCUUCUUCUUCUUCUUCUUCCUCCGAAUCUGGGGAAGGUUUUUUUUUUUUUCUUCUUCUUCUUCUUCUUCCUCCUUCUUCCUCCUUCUUCAUUCUCCUUCCUCCUUCUUCCUUCCUCUUCUUCUUAUUCUUCUUCUACUUAUUCCUCCGAAUCUGCCCAGAUUCAGUUUUUUUUUUGUUUUUUCUUCAGUUUUUUUUUUGUUUUUUCUUCUUUCUUCUUGCUUCUUCUUCUUCUUCCUUCUUCUUCUUCCUUCUCCUUCUCCUUCUUCUUCCUCCGAAUCUAGGGAAGUUUUUUUUUCUUCUUCUUCUUCCUCCUUCUUCCUUCUCCUUCCUCAUUCUUCCUUCCUCAUUCUUCCUUCCUCUUCUUCUUCUUCUUCGUCCUUCGAAUUUGCCCAAAUUCAGUUUCUUUUUUCUUCUUUCUUCUUUCUUCUUCUUCUUCUUCUUCCUCCGACUACAACCUUUUUUGUUUUUUUGUUUCCUUCCUCCUUCUCCUUCUUCCUUUCUCCUUCUUCCUUCCCCUUCUUCCCCAUCUUCCUUCUUCUUCCUUCUCCUUCUCCUUCUUCUACUUCUUCCUCCGAAUCUGGGGAAUUUUUUUUUUCUUCUUCUUCCUCCUUCUUCCUUCCUUCCCUUCUUCUUCUUCUUCUUCUUCCUCCGAAUCUGCCCAGAUUCAAUUUUUUUUCUCUUUUUUCUUCUUUCUUCUUCUUCCUCCUUCUUCCUCCUCCAACUACAACUUUUUUUUUCCUUUCUCCUUCUUCUCCUUCUUCCUUCCUCCUUCUUCCUUCUUCUUCUUCUUCUUCCUCCGAAUCUGGGGAAGAUGAAGGUUUUUUUUUUUUUUGAAGAAGAUGAAGAAGAAGAAGAAGGAGAAGAAGAGGAAGGAAGAAGGAGGAAGGAAGAAGGAGAAGAAGGAGGAAGAAAAAAAAAAGUUGCAGUCGGAGGAAGAAGAAGAAGAAGAAGGAGGAAGAAGGAGGAAGAAGAAAAAAGAAAAAAAAAAUAGAAUCUGGGUAGAUUCGGAGGAAGAAGAAAAAGAGGAAGGAGGAAGGAUGAAGGAGAAGGAAGAAGGAGGAAGAAGAAGAAAAAAAAAAAACUUCCCCAAAUUCGGAGGAAGAAGAAGGAGAAGGAGAAGGAGAAGGAGAAGGAUGAAGGGGAAGAAGGGGAAGAAGGAGGAAGGAAGAAGGAGAAUGAGGAAAAAAAAAGUUUAUGUCGAAGGAAUGAGAAGAAUAAGAAGAAGGAAGAAGGAGAAGAAGAAAAAAAAAACGUGGAUGACACGUGGCGCCCAGUCAGUGUCCACAUGGGCGCCACAUCACAGUUAAUUGGAAACUUAACAGUUUGACUAACGGAUGUAUGAGACUGUCUCAAAAUUUACACUUUAAAUAUGAAUCUGAGACGAAAAAAACUUGAUGUAUUAAAAUGUUAAAAACCACGAAAUAUGAGAGUAGUAAACAGUCUUUUACCCAUAAAUAAAAAUAGGUGGAAAAAUAAGACAUUAGGAUGGAUAUAACACCACUCGAUAGUAAUCAUAAUCAGUGGAUUGACUUUAUCAUAAUAGCCUUGAUGACUUUUUUAAUUCCUAAUUUGGGUGAAUCAAUCCCACCCACCCACGUAUAUACGAGACAACCAAGCAGUCAUCAGCCACGUUAGCACCCAUUAAAUAUUCGAAAACUACAAACCACGUGCUUAACUGUUCAUCGCACUACGGUAUCAAAUUAUUAUAAUUAUAUUAUUGAGAAGAGCUUAGCUCCUUAAGGUUGGAAACAAGCCACUUUAAAAUAUUUUGCGACCUAUUUAUAUAAUUUCUUGUUAUAAUCAAAAUUGUUCGUCUUUAUAAAAAAUAAAAAAUAAUAUUAGAAUAAUAUUAGGAUGUUCAAAAUUUCAAACUAAAUGAUAGGUCACUAAUUGAAAAUAAGCGUGUUGAUCAACAUUCAGUAAUAAUAUAAUAAUCAACAUCCACAUCAUUUGAUUUACAAAAUUUAAUUUAUAAAUUUGAUUUCUCUAACAUUACCCUUAAAAGUAAUAUCGUUAGGUGAUUUAUAAAAUAAACAAUUUUGAUCAUACAGUCCAAGUCAUGUGAAGGCCACGAAACAUUUUGAAGAGGAACCCGUUCUCAAACCUUAAAAACUGAGCGGUGGAAAAUUCUGUAAAUAAGUCACGGAACAUUUUGAAUAGGAACUCUUCCACAACUUAAGAAGCCAGGCUCUCUGUAUUGUUUAGCUCAGUCGGAAUCAUUAUUCCUUGGUGCAAAUUAUCAUUAUAUUGUGACAUAUAUAAUAGUUUGAUUUCACUUAACAUUUUGAAGAGGAUCUUUACCUAACUUUGACCCCUUUUCAGUCUCUGCCUGAUUUUUCCCGGUCCUAAGAUUCCUAACACGGAAGACCAAUCUGAUUCACAUGAUACCAGUAUCAUGGCUUCGAGGGACCGAAUUCAGUUGUCUCGUAGAAUAAUACGACUCGAUGAGAACCACUUACAAGGCACAGUGCACCGUCACGGAGCACUAUCAUAAGGCGUCUCAUAUCAAUAAAACAAUACUACACAAACAGAAUCUUAUACAUGCAUGUUUUUAUUUUAUUGACAUAAAACUCCACCAUGAUGGUACGCUUGUGUCAUGUAAGUCCUCAAAAAACUGUGUGCUUGUAUCAUGUAAGUCCUAAAAAACUGUGUGUUUGUGCCAUGCAAGUCCUCCAGCGACCAAAAACUGUCCAAAACAUUUCAACAGAAGUACUGUGUCUGUGUAUAAGAUUGGGUUCUUUCCAGGCCCUUAUAGGCCCUGCUCAAUACUGCACUGAGAACAACUAUGAAACCUAGACUUGGAUGACAAAAUUGCAGUACUAGAAACUCCCCAAAAUUUGUCAAGGGUUUAAAACAUCUAAAAAGUCCAACCGAUAAAAAUAAACCACUAACUUGAGAAGUUUCACCGAAUCGGGUCCAAAACUGUGUCUAAAAAACCUAAAGAAAACUGAACUAUCACGAGACAACCUGAACUGUGUCGAGAAAACAUCCCUCCCCCGCUCACGAACAUAUGAACAUCCUUAUUCAUAUAUUGGAGCGCAAUGCAAGAAAACCCAGCUUCAACGACACAUCCAGAAUGGAUCUUGCUCCAGCAUCGAGUCAAGACUAUAGUCAUCUCGCGGCAAGUUGGUGCCAAAUCCUAAGUUGUCAGUAUUAUUGGGAUGAUUACCAAAUGGAGAAUCAAACAAGGUGCACGGAUCAAACUGAAAUUCUGUGGAUGGGAGAGAUGGAGGAGCUGGAGUAGCUGGAGGAAGCAUAGGCAUAGGCAUAGGCGAUGCUUGAGACAUGUUGGAUCCUAUAACCAACCUUUCAUCAAAGAAGUUAUCACCCAUGGGAAAUUGAUAAUUCACCUGAUGCUGGUUGUGGUUUUCUACAACAUCGAGGCUUCCAGGAUCCGAGUUCUUGUUCUGCUGAAUAUUACCAUCACAGAAUGACAUAAACUCAGAUAUCAUAUUCUGCUCAUCCCCAGCAAGUUCAAGUCCGGAAGCAUUAAAACUACUUGUCUGGUUCACUGGUUGUUGAAUAGCUGGAUUAGGUUGAGGACUGGAUAAGGACCCCACAAGUUUGUCACUGUUAGGAUGAACGCUUGACAUUCCAACUUGUGAAGAAUUAUUCCUGUAAGAACACGUCAACUGGUGAUUAUUCCUUGCAGUUAUGUUGCGAAAGCCUAGGUGGUAAUCAUGAUACGGGCAAUCCAGAUAUUCGCAGGUGUAACCCUGAUGAUUUAGCAUCAUUUGUGGCUCUUCAGGCAGCUGCUUCCUCUUUUGACCAGAGUCUGAAUCGGUCUCAGUCAGCUCUGCCAUAAAAUGAUGCAUCAGUCCAUCUCUGUGUCCAGAUGUUCCAAUAUUUAAGUGAUUAAAAAGAGGUUGGCAGUCCUCUUCUUCAUAAUUAUCUUCAUCAUCAACCACUUCAACAUCAUAAUCACUGGUACCGCUGAUUGCAAAAUUAGACCCACUCCCAGAAGAUGAUGGAGGUGUACAUCCAUCAGGAUAUAACCUCUGGGCCAAAUUUUCCUCCUGGUUAAGGAUGGCUAGCCAAAUGGUGGUCUCCUUAGCAGACAUUUUGUCCUGCAAAUAUUUAGACCGAUGAACAAGCUUCCGGAUCCUGGCAAUAUCGGGUGACAUGUGCUUUAUCACAGCCGCGAGAACACUCACCUUCCAAGCCUUCUUCAGAUCAUGAGGCUUCCUGUAUGGGGGAGGACCCUGAUCCUUGCGCAGAUUCAAUUGAGUCCACCAUUCUUCAUUGCCAGUGGGCCACCAAGGUGGGGCAACACCCUUCUCCAACGGGAAACGUCUUUGGGGUGGAUGGCAGUGCUGCAUCAAAGCCGACAAAAGUGAACCAAGAGUGGCAUCAUGGAGCUCCUGUAAGUUAUGAGGAGUGGAUGGUACUGCAUUGGAGUCUUCAUUCUUCCCAGGGAUUGGAUGUUCAGCCAGAUACUUAGAAAUUGCAGCAGGGCCAUUAUGGUCAAAUCUUACUUUUUCCUUCCACCAUUCGCGAAGACUGUCAGACGCACCAGUCACUGGUUUACCAUUUUCGGGGAUAAUCCCAUAAACAAAACCCUUGGCUUUACAAACUUCCAUCAUUUUUAACAUAUAUUUCAGGAUUCCAUCUUGUGCCCGUGACAUCCUCUUCCUCCGAGCUUGUUCCUGUGGCUGACACUGCCUAGCAUUGUCAGCUGCUUCUGUUCCCUCAUUUUGCUCUUUAAGCCGCUUCAGUCGCAUUCUAUAUUUCCACACCCUCCUCUCAAGCUCAUUAACAUCCAAUUCGUCGUCACUAUCAUCCUCCUCCACUGUUGCCUCUGGGUCAUUCUCUGGGGCUGCCUCACCUUCCUCAGGGAAAGCCAAAAGAAAGUCAAGGUCGUCACUGAACUCCAACUCCUCAAUGAUCGCCAUCCACCACCAACACAAAGAACAAGGUUGAUUGUAUACAAAUAUAUAACAAUUGGGUAAUUAAAUACAGUCCACGCCAACUUCACCACCCUUCUACUCUUUAUAUGAUUAGCAAACCCAAAAACAAAUGAAAUCUUCUGCAAAUGAUAAUUACGAAUAACUCAGUUAAAGCCACAAUUGUCGCAUACGGGAGAUCAGGAACAUGGAACUAGUAACAACAACGUUACUUCAAUGAAAAUAAAAAGGAAAAUUACAUACUUUCACGGAUACGAUUAAUUGAAAACAUAAAAAGUAAUACAUUAAAGAAGUCAGAACCAUGUAGACAAGCAAAGUUAUAUAUAUUAAUUGAUCAUGAAUCAAACAAGUAAGAUUAACAAACAAAGAAACGCAACGGAUUUCCGCGGUUUUGCAUUCAAAACAAAAAAGAUGAAAAAAACCAAAGCAAAACCCUAAUACAAAAACCUUAUGCACAAAAGCAACAACAUCAGUUACAAACCAAAAACAAAAUGAAAAAUGAAAAAAAAACAAAUCAGCAACAUGAGGAACAUGAGAUCAUUAGAACAAAAACCAAAUGUUACAAGUGCAUACCCUGUAACUGCAAAAAACUUCCAAAAGACAAAGAACAGAACUGGGUGACAACAGGUUCAUCACACAACUAAUCAGUUUCAUAUUUUUUCACAAAACCAUGUUACUGAUUUUCAUGAUUUAACUCAAAAUGUUAUAGCUUGAUAUAAUGCAGGUAUGCAGCACAUAUUCCACCUACCUAAGCAAUAUAAUUCACCUAUUAAUUUGUUUGUUCAUUGUUUAACAUAGAUACGGAAAUUCGGGGUAGCCACCUUUCGGAUCAUAAGAUGUUCGAACUACAAAACUAUACCAUCAGCAAGUGGUGGAUUGCCCCGGUGGUCAGGGCCUUCCUAUUCAACCCAUUGCCCUUAGUGUGGUUUACUCUUGUACUAAAAAAACCACGCUAUCAAAUCCAAAGUUCUAGAAGAUUAAAAAUCAAAGAAAAACACGAAAAAUAAAAAAGAUCAAACAGAAACAAGAAAGGGUAAAUUCUCACACCAGGACCUGCAACUAAAGGAAGUAGAAUAUAAAAUACACACCAAGAGAAUAACCAGAUAGCAUAAACACAGAGAUCAACCAUAAAAAUACAUGAAAAUUCACACGAUGAAUAAGAUAAAAAUAUUCCUUUGACUAUUAUUAUUUUUUUAGUUGACAAGAAGACUGAGAAAUGAAACAAGUAGUUUAAGUAAACAAAUAAAAAGCAGAAAAAUGAAGGUACCUAUUUGAUGGGUUGGUAGGGGCCGAGGGAUGGAAGCUCCUCCCUCCUCAACACCCUCUGGUUCCUCAGAGAGAGGCAGAGAGGUUGUGUCCUGCUCAGGAGACAGAAAUGGAAGAAGAAAAAGACAGACAAAAGAAUUGGAAGCAAAAGUGAAAUUUUUGUCGGAGGGCGUGCUAUUUAACUAGACUCGGCUACGUUUUAACCGCGGUUUGAGACGUGGGUGGGUAACUUCUCCUUUUUCUUUUUUACUUUUGGUAAGCGGUACCUUUUGGUUUUUGGUUUUUUACUAUUUAGAGUAACUUGUAUAGCACGCAUACUACCGUUCCGCGUUGAUAAUUCAAAAUAUUAAUUUUUCAAUAUGGUUACAUUAUUGAUUUUCAAUGUACUAUGUACGUUCUUUCAUUUCUUUAAACUAAAACUCGUACUAAAGAUCAAACAUCCAUGUUAAUUUAUGUUCCAUCAUGUGCGACAAUAUUAUUAUUAUGUCACUUUUGUCAACUCAACAAAGUGUGACAAUUUCAUUAUAUUGCAAACUCAAUGUAUACAUCUCCCAUCAGGUGUGCUCGCUCGCCUCUUUUAACUCGAGCUCAAAAAUCCUCUUAGUAGUAGUUUAUUAAACUGUAUUAUAAAAAAUCAAUAAGUAAUUUUGACAAAAAUUCUUAAAUUUAUGUUAAUGUGGUAGAAUUUGGGUUUAAUUACUGCUCUGGGUGUUCCUUUUUUUACCAUUUACUCAUCUCACUAUUUUGAAGGAAGAGAAAAGUUGAAUGUUUAAGCUAAAGGAUACUUUUGUAUUUUCACUUCAUCUUUUAAUUAUAAUUUUUUUAAAUAAGCAAUAUUAUCUACACUAAAUAGAUAAGGACGUAGACUAAUAUAGAAGUUCAAAACGUUGUCCAAAAUUCUAAAUCGGGCACAAAACAUUGAUACCAAAUAUAGCGAAUAAUAAUAUGGCUGUUAUGGAUACCUAAUUAGCUUAUUUCAUUAAAGACAAUUUAUAUUCAACUAUCCAGAUGUAUUACUUAAUUAGCUAUUAUAUUUUAAUCUUAUCUAAGCUUUUAAUCUCAGCCGUUGAUAAAUAUUUAACAGAUAGAAUUGAAUGUUACCCCUACUGGUUUUUCUUUUCCUCUCUCCAUUAACAUAGGCAAGAACUUUUGGCUAUAGUGAUCUCUUCUUUUUUAGGAAAUAAACUUUAUUAAAAAAAGAAAAAAAGAAUUCUCGGGAACAAUAGGAGCUCAUAAAGUUAAAUAAAAACUGGAGUGCUUCACGAGGAAGCACUGAAGAAGCACCCGAUCUCAAAUACAAAUGUUGUCAAUAUUGUUACUAAUGAGUGUGAUAGCAUCAGUUAGGAAGUUUGCUUCUUUAUAAGUAGCAACUGAAUAGAAUUAAAAGAGAUCGUCAGAUAUUUGAUGUCCUCGAAAAUAGUAUUGAGCCUCCAAGAGAUCUUACAUCAGUCAAGAAUCUCAUCUAUAACUAUAUUGGAGUCACCUUCAAUUACCACAUCCUUGAUAUUUCUCUGUUUUGCAAAAAGAAGAGAAUCCCGAAGAGAGUCUCAGCUACAGUAAUAGUAUUUGAUCUUAGAUUGUGAGCUCCAACAACAAUUGGCCUUCAAACAGAAUCUCGAAUGAAAAUUCUCCAGCAGCUGAACCUCUACCCACUGGGCCAUCCAAGUUGAUUUUCAUAGUGUCUUCUCUUGGAGCUUUCCAUUUAGAAGUCUUCCCUUCGAAACACAAUCUCUUUUUUCGUGUCAUAUAGGAGGAAAUUUCAUCGUUUUGUUGUACUAAAUAGAUCCGUUGCUUUGUUACAACUUACAAUGUACAUAAAUGUUGUCGUAUUUCAAACUGCAUGUCACUUGCGUGUGGUUCAAGUUCGUAAAAGAUAGAGCGUUAAACUUUAAGGAAAAUUAACGAAAAGUUCAAAAAAACAUCUCUUUUAACGAAAAGUUAUUUUUAAAUGUAUAGUGAAUAGUGCCAGUUAAAGGUAAAAAUGUGGUUUUUCGUUAAAAGUGAACAGUACCGGAAGUGUUUUGUUAAAACUCCCUAAACUUUACCCAUGUAAUCCGGUACAUGCAACUAUGAUCCCUCAACUAAAAUUCUAUUACCCUUGGUCCCUCAACUUUAAUACAACUAGAUAAAUGGUUUCUCAACUUUAACCCAAUUGUAGCAAUAGUCCUUCUAACAUAACUCAUUUUGACAAAAUUCUGACAAAGUUAACGAAAAUGACUAUAGCUACACAUUUUGAUGAGUUGAGGGACCCUAAUUGUAGCAAUGAUCCUUCCAACAUAACUCAUUUUGACAAAAUUCUAAUAAAGUUGACGAAAAUGACCAUAGCUACACAUUUUGAUGAGUUGAGGGACUAAUGGUAAUGAAUUUUUAGUUGAGGAACCAUUACUCCAAUUUGAUUAAAGUUAAGGGACCAUUAAUACAAUUUACUAAUAAAAGUAUAGUGGAAAAUCUUGAGACAUUGUUUUGUCCGCAAAAUACUACAUAGUUAUAGGUUUUUGUUUUUCAUUUCAUAUGAGAUUUUAGCAACAUUAUUAGUAUUACCAGGUGUAUGGUCGUUGCAAUCAAGAUUAGUAAAUUGUUUAGAGUGAUACAAUGAUUAGUCCCUAAUUAAUCAGGGAGGCAAGAUCACUAUACUUGUAUUACAUAUGUGAUAUUAAUAGUGAGUUCAUGAAUAACACUUACAUGUAUAUGUUCUAAACUAAAUUUUAUAAACCAAAUGAUAUGAAUGUUAAUGAUUAGAUUAUUACUUAAGUGUUGAUUAACGUGCUUAUUUCCUAUUGGUGGUGAAAUUUUUAGUUGUGACAGGAAUACAAGUGGUACACCAAGUGUUUUAAUAGAAGUGGUGAAAUUUUUUAUUUUUUAAGUUAUUAACUUUUUAGCACACAUAUCCCACCAUUUGUAUAGUGACACGUGAUGUACUACCCCGUGUACCGAUCAUAUUGAAAAAUCUCUCCUAUUGGUGACACAUUAUUUGAUUUCUAAAUUUGAUUUAAAAUUUUGAUCAGCUUAGCAUUAUCCUGAAGUUAAAUACACCAUAUUCAUAUAAUAAUCUUGGAUGUAUGUGGGGGAAGAAAUCGGAGUGCACGAAUAAUACUUAUAACAUGUGAAGCACUCCAGUCUCCAGCAGUUGAAUGUUACCAAAAAUAGUAAAGUGCAAAGCACGUAGUACCGCGUUAGGCUACCAAUAUGUUUAUCCAAACCCUCCAUGUAUAUAUAUAUAUAAACACACACCCAACCACCAUCCCUUAUGCAAUCCUCGACCACAUAGGAAAAUCAUUUAGCAUUAUGUCUUCCAUCAAAUCCUAUGGCAAGAUUGAUGAAUCCGACCAAGCCCGGCUCGACGCUCGUAGGGAAACUCGAAAGAGAGUUGCCAUCAUAAGCCUUUCGUCCAUAGUUCUUGUCUGUGUCAUUGUUGCUGCUGUGGUUGGAACCACCGUUCAUAAUAAAUCUGGUGGGAACUCUAAAGGCUCGGCCAUCUCCACUUCUGUCAAGGCUGUUUGUGAUGUGACCUUGUACCAGGAUUCGUGUUACAGCAGUCUUGGUCCUCUGGUUAACUCCAACAAUGUUAAGCCUGAGGAGAUUUUCAAGUUGGCAAUUCAGGUGGCGAUCAAUGAAUUGUCGAAAGCCGCUACUCAUUUUUCGGCUGAUGGUGUUCUUAAUGCGACUGCCAAGGACACACAGUCUGUGGCAGCUUUGAAAGAUUGUCAAGACCUUUUGAGUCUGGCAUUGGAUCAUCUCAACGACUCAUUGUCUGACACUAAGUCGUUGGUUGAUGUGUUUGAUGAUCUCAAGACUUGGCUGAGCUCUUCAGGCACAUAUCAGCAGACUUGCAUUGAAGGUUUUGACGAUGUAAAAGGAGAACUCAAGGAUAAAGUUGUCGGCUACUUGAAGAACUCCAAUGAGUUAACUAGCAACAGCCUCGCCAUUGUCUCUUGGAUUUCCAAAGUCCUUAACUUAGUGAACCUAAGGCGACUUCUGACACACCCUGAUCCCACCGAUACGUACAGCCAGGGAGUACCAGAGUGGCUGCAUCGGAAGGAUCGCAAGCUGCUUCAGAGUUCGGAUUUGAGGAAGAAGGCAGACAUUGUCGUGGCAAGCAAUGGCAGUAGCAAAUACAAAACAAUUCAGGAUGCACUCAAUGCUGUUCCGGAUAAGAGCAAGAAGAGAACAGUCAUCUACGUCAAGAAGGGGGUUUAUUAUGGGAAUGUGAGGGUUGAGAAAUCCAAGUGGAAUGUUUUGGUGGUCGGUGAUGGUUCGAAUGCAACUAUUGUAACUGCCAAACUCAACGUUGUGGAUGGAACUCCCACAUUUUCCACUGCCACAGUCGGUAAUAGUUCGAUAAAACUCUGUAUAGCUAGCAUAUUUACUGAUCACAUUACUGCCGUCCUUUUGAAAGGGGAUUCUUCUCAUGCAAAUGAGUCUCCUUUCAGUGAGAGAUCUGAUCAGCAAUGUUUGCUGGUAAAUGUUUCAUAUCAUAAUAGUAAUAGAAACAAUUAUUUCUUUGUAUGCAGCCGUUUUUGGAAAGGGAUUCAUUGCCCGGGACAUUGGAUUUCGCAACACUGCAGGGCCAGCCAAGCACCAGGCAGUGGCCUUGUUGUCAACUGCUGAUCAGUCAGUCUUCUAUAGGUGCGACAUUGAUGCAUUCCAGGACACUCUCUAUGCUCACUCCAAUCGCCAAUUCUACCGCGAAUGCAACAUUUAUGGAACAGUGGAUUUCAUUUUCGGGAACUCAGCAGUUGUGCUCCAAAACUGCAACAUAAUGCCUAAGGUUCCCAUGCGAGGCCAGCAGAACACCAUCACAGCUCAAGGGAAGUUUGAUCCCAAUCAAAAUACAGGAAUUUCGAUUCACAAUUGCAGCAUAUCGCCCUUUGGAGACUUGUCCUCGGUCAAAACUUUCCUCGGGAGGCCAUGGAAGAAUUACUCCACAACUGUGUACAUGCAAACAUACAUGGGAAAUCUCAUCAGCACUGAUGGAUGGUUGCCAUGGGUAGGCAAUAGCGCUCCCGACACCGUAUUUUACUCGGAAUUUCAAAAUUUUGGACCUGGUGCUUCCACAAAGAAUAGGGUUAAAUGGAAGGGGUUGAGAACCAUCAACCAAAAAGCAGCCAGCAAAUUUACAGUGCAUUCAUUUCUCCAAGGAACUAAGUGGAUCUCUGAUGCUGGUGUUACCUACACAUCAAGCCUCUGACCAAUAUAUUUGAUAGUUUCAUGAACAAAAAUUGAUUUUCUUUUCCCAAUUUAUUAUUUUCCAUUUCACACUUUUUGAUCAUGAUUGUUUUGUGUGCCUUCUUAUACUUUCUGAUUGCUUUUGCACAGCAAAUUGUGAUAUAUUUUUCUGGCUUUGAUGUAAUUGUUGAAAAAUAGUAUAUACAAAGUCCAACAUGUCUGACAUUUCAUAAUUCAUAUUUCCAAUUAAAUUAAUUUUCAGAUCAUUCAUGUGUAAUACUGGAAAUUCAAAUAUUACGAAUUAAGUUAAUUCUAUUACCAUCUGUUUGUAAAUUUACACUAGCUACUUAGAGGACGGAAUUAUAAACCGAGGAUAUAUAUGAUGAACAUGAAUGAAGUUGGAAUGAAAUUAAGCCAAUGAAUAAUUAAAAAGUUUUUAACAGUACUAAAUACAAUAAUCAGUAGAAAUAGUAUUAAUUUUCACUUGGAAGUUGAGAAGUUUUAAUAAUUCUCUAAUUCAGCAACCCUCCAUAGAAGGGUAUAUCGGUGUCGGGCAACCAAGUAUCACCCAAUGUGAAAUUACUGACAGUGAAAUUCAAGGCUUGAGUAGCAUUCAUCAGACUAUAACCAGGCCAUUGUACUCUCUUCGUCGUGUUUGCCCCCGGCCCGUGAUUCUGAAACUCACCGUAAAACAGUGUGUCCAAUCCAACCGUCCCAUUCCAUUCCAACCAUCCAACUGAGCUGAUCAGAGAGCCAAUAUAAGACUGCAUGAUGACAGUCCUAGAAAACACCUUCCAAGGCCUUCCCAGAAAAUUUAACGUGGAGUUGAGGUCCGCUGCCAAGUCUGGCGCAGCUUCAAUUGUGCAGUUGUGGAUGGAGAUUCCGGUGUUCUGAUUCGGGUCAGUUCGUCCUUGGGCUGUGAAGGCGUUUUUCUGGUUGGGCAUCGGUUUUCGAGCGUAUAAAUUGCAACUCUGGAAGACAGCAGCAGCAUUUCCAAAAAUGAAAUCUACAGUUCCAUAUAUGUCACAUUCCUUAUAGAACUGCCUCAGGGAAUGUACGUAUAGAGUGUCCUGAUAGCCUUCGAAGCUGCACCUGUAAAAUGUGGAGAGGUCAGCAUUGUUUCUUACAGCUACCGCUUGGUGCUUUUCUGGACCUGCAGUGUUCCUGAAUGUAAUAUCUACGGCCACAAAUCGUUCCGCAGAAACAGCUGCAACACAACAAAUCAUUGAGUUUCAGACUAAUUAAGCAUGUAAAACAUAAAUAAUUAAUACUCAAUUCACAGGUGUUCAAACUAAUUUUCACUAUGUUACACAAGUUUGACGAUAUUUAGUCGUCAAUGAAGUAGAAGUCGACAGGUACUUACUACCUGAAGGCGAUAAGGAUUAUGAAAAUUAUGAACCAUGCAUGUAGAGUUUUUCUCUAGUACAUUGGCCAAAUAAUCAAGUUUAAAAAUGACGUGUUAAAGAAACAAAACUUAUCAUCAAAUUUGGAUACAUGUCAUGUUUCAAUUGAAACUAUUUUGUCACUCAGCACUGUCACGUGACAAGGCACAACAGUUUUUUUGAGCCCCUACUAGGGUUUUGGUGGGAUGAAUGUGAUUCAAAUAAUUUUUAUACGCACUUUAAUUUCAAGAGGGCCAGAAGAGAAAGAGGUAGCUAGCAGAAAUGUAAUUCUUACCAAAGGUUGAGGAGUUGAAGGUAGUCCAAUCAUCGACGAAACUAUGGUUUCCGGUAAUGACAGUGCUAUUAAUACCAUCUCCGAGCAGCAUUAUGUUAGUCUUGUGUUUGGCGAUGACAAUGUACUCAUGAUAGCAUCCUCCUCUAACAUAGAUCACAAAGUAGCCAUCUUCAGGCUUCAACUUCUCGGGAGCAGAAGUAAUAGCAUCUCCGAUCGAUGUAAAGUUGUCCGUCCCAUAUGGACCCACAAUCACUGUGUCGUUAACCAGAAUGCCACUGCUCUCCAUUUCUUCAAGAAUCCUCUCACCUCUUUCGGAAGUCGUCGAGUUUUUGCCAGAACUUUUCCGAAGUGCCUGCAAUUUAUUUUUUAUUCAAAUGAAUUCUUAGAUACUCACGAAUCUCUACGUAAUCACUUGUUCUUUUAUCAAUUAUGGUUCAUGAAAUUUAAGCUCACAAGUCAGGUCUCCUCCAUUAAAGUGAUUAGCCACUAGACUAAAUGAUCAUAUACUUAAUUAUAUAUCUAAAGUUGAUCAAACGAUAUUACACGUAUGGUUUGGAUUUGUAGUCAAUGUGAUUAAGCUUGUUCUAUACAUUGUAGCCGUACUGUACACAUUUGUUAAAUUUUAAUUUGUGCAAGUAUAUUGAGUAUUUUAGUCAUAUUUACAGAUUACUUUAUUGUUUUAGUACACUGCAUAAUAUACUAGUAUUGGCACAUGACCUAAAUUCAAUACGGAUUUUCACUCAUCAAUUUACGUUGAGUUUUGUUUACACCCAACAUGCCACCUUUGGACAGUAAAAUUUUUUAACACCCAUCUCAAAAUUUAAGUUUUUUUGGACACCAAACAUAAUUAACACUAAUUAAAACCAACCUUUGAAAUAUCUUUUGUAUUUAAAAUUUGGUUGUAAACAGAAUCGCUCUUUAAUACUGUGUAAGACAUACAAAAGUCACUUAUUAAGAUACUUAUUACCCUGAUAACAUGUUAAGAAUCUUUUUAUGUCGUAUGAUCGGAUGAUGAGUUGACCAGAAAAAUAAAAGGAUGGGUGGUGGUGGUGGCGGCGUGCUGCAUUUGAUGGGGGAGGCCAUUGACGGUGCAAAUGCAUCGCGAUCGAUAUGCAGAAACCAUGUGACGUACGUUACUUACAAGUUAUGCACGUACAAUAAUUGACAUCGGUUGGCAGGGCCUCUUAUUUUGACUCCAUUACUCCAGAUCUAGCUACUUCUAUCACACAGAGACCCACUUGGACUUGAAUAAACAAUUGAACCAUAAAUUGAGAUCUUUGUGUCGAUAAACAAUAUUUCGUAACUAUUUAAAAAAACAAAUUGUAGCUCAGUUGACUUAGAACAUUUUGUUCUGCACCUACUUGAGUUUUCUAAUUCGAGCAAAAAAAAAAAAAAAAUCACAAAAAUGUUGAAUAAAAAAAAUAAUAGUAGAGAAGGUAUCUUUAUGAUGUACUAUCUACUAUGUGAUUGUUCCUCUCAAAUUAAGUCUCUAUGAACUCCAUAUCUUACACUAAUUUAAGGUUUUAUAAAAAUAAAACUCACAAUUUGAAGGGUAAGAUUGUGAGAAAAAAAAUAUACAAGUUAAUUACAAAUAGUGACUCUAAUUAUGAUUCUUUUUAUUAAGAAGCUCUAAUUCAUAGAGUAACCAUGGGUUUACAACCUCAUUAUCAUCAAUUAAAUGAAAAAUUGGAAAUUUUUGCAUAAUAACAUGAGAAGUUGGAAAUUUAAGUGAAGCUACUAUUACAUUUCACGGUAUUAAGAUGAGAUGUUACUCUUACUCUUAAAAUGUCAUCGUGCACUCUUUCUAUGUGUAUUUCAAUUAUACAAUAUUCAAUUUUGUGUAUUAAAUGACAUUAUAAAAGUUUUAUGUAAACAAUAUCAAUUGAUACUAACAUACGAUUCACCAAACCACAUAAUAUAAAAAUUCAAGUAUUUUUCCCAAUUGUAAGUCAAAAACCUACUUCACUCUAUAAUUUUUUGGGAAAUGAUAAAAACGCCUUUUUAACUUCUUACACAUUCCUAUUUAAUUCUAGUGGUUAAUUACGUUGAUUUUUUUUAAACAAAUGGUUAAAACUAAAAAUAAAAAUAUAUGGAAAGCUAAAGUGGUGUGUGAAAAUUAUUUUUCUAAUUCUUUUCUCAACUGCCACAAUAUUUAUUGGACCAUCUUCAAAUGAGAUGUCAAAUAUGCCAAAUAGUAGCUGAGUCAUUUGACUUCUUACUUUUUAGCUAUCUUUUUUACAGCAUACAAAGAAGAAGUUAAAUAUAUUUAAUUUAAUUUGUUAAAGCAUGGGUCCAUUAACAACCAAAAGAAUAAAAAAAUAAAAUCAAUUUUAAUUAUUUUUAAUAGUUAAUGUAACUAUGAGGCUCAAUAUAAUAAUAAAAUAAAGAUUUGAUGGAUCAUUGAAAAAGAAGAAAUUUUAACAUUUGUAUACAAUUGGCCACAUUAGUCAUUAAAUAAAAUUUUGACAUAUUAUAUUUGAUAUCUAAAGAUGCUAUUAGAAAGUCUUGCUAUUUGUUUGUGAACAUUACUCAACUGUUACAAAUUCAAUAGCAGUUACAAAUUCAAUAGCAGCUCCUGCUUCUAAUCAAUCAUAAAUAACACACGUGUCCAAUCUAUAUUUAGAAUUUUAAUUAUUUAAACAUAUAUAUCUGUAAUUAGAUACAAGUAGGAGUUGCUGCUAAAUUUGUAACAGCCUAAGUAGUGUGCUUUGUUUGUUGAAAUCUAGUGUCACAUCCCCAGAUGCUCUAUUGUAUCUGCCAUUUUGGUACCUUUUAUAUAUAAUCUAAUGACACUUGUUAUCUUUCUUGGGUUCCGAAUUACACUAGUAUAUAGUUUCAUUCCAUGCAUUGUUAUUCAACAAUAUUUUUUAUUAGGUAAUGCAAUAGAGGAUUUUUUUUUAUAUUAUAUAUUGUAGACUAUAUGAUGUAGUGGUUAAUCAUUGAAUUUAUUUUUUAAAUUAUUAUAAACAGAGUCAAAUUAUCAACCAUUACAUUAUAUGAUUUACAAAUAUAUUCUAAUAUUCUUCCCAACAAUUUCCCUUUUUAUUACCCAAUAGUCCAACAAAGCUAUAAGCAUGUAGCCUCUGACUAUCAGAUAUACUACAAGAUUUUAUCCAAUUAAAAUCUUAACUAGGAUACUGACAUAUAUAUUCAAAUUAUCACAGAAAAAAAAAGUAAAAAAAUGGGUAAUACUUCAUUUACUAUCUAUUUAUACUAUCAUUUGUACUAUCUUUUUAAUCAAGGUAGGCCCAUCAAUACAUGUGAGUCUCAUAUAUAUUAAAAUCUUAACUAGGAUACUGACAUAUAUAUCAAAAUUAUCACAGAAAAAAAAAGUAAAAAAAUGGGUAAUACUUCAUUUACUAUCUAUUUAUACUAUCAUUUGUACUAUCUUUUUAAUCAAGGUAGGUCCGUCAAUACAUGUGAGUCUCAUUUUUAUUAGAAAAAUAAUACAAAUAAUAGUACAAAUAAAUGGUAAAAUUAACAUUUUUGUAAAAACAAAAAAAAGAAAUGUCUAGAAAAAUGAACUCAAAAGCUUUACCUUAAUGAAAGUUUCAAGUGAUACCCGGAAUUUGUGCACAUUUUUGGUGCCGGAGCCCUCACUGCCUUUCUUAUGCUUUUUGAGAUUACGAGCCAAGGAAUGCGUGACCAACCCAAGCGACACACUAUAGAGCUGCGUAACAUUAGAGAAGGCCACGGCCAGAGCCGUGGUGUUUCCCAAAACGCUGCUCUUAGACACCACAAGCCCAUCGUAACAAGUCUGCUGGUUGGUCACAAUGCCGCUCAGCAACGUCUGCACCUUGUCCACCAGUUCCUCGUUCAGCGUCUCGGCGGACUUGAGCUCUGUCGAGAUCGCCUCCAAGUGCUCCACGUUCAGCUCCGAGAAAUGCUGGCAGUCCUCCAGCGCGUUUGACUCGCUGUCGCUUAUGAAAUACGACUUGUGCUUGGUUUUUCCAAGGAAGUGGUUAAUUGUUGUGGAGGUUUUGCGUGCCUGUUUCAGGCAUUGUUUGAUGGAGAACUUGCCGUAGCUGUAGGGAUCGGACGGUGAGGAGCGAAUGGUGGAGAGCAUCGAACGGCAGAGCUUUGGGUAGAGGGUGGACUUGCAUGCUGAAGAGGAUGAUGAGGAGGAUGAUGCAGCAGCACCAGAGGUUAGCAGAAGUAGUGAAAAGAGGGAUAGAGAAAGGAGGUGGAAGAAAGGAGAGGAGCGUAGCCGUGGCAUUUUGAGUGUGAAAAUGUAUUGUUUUUCCCGCCGGGGGGGUGUGGGGGGCGGGGGCCGCUCUAGGUUGAGUUGAGUGUUUGAAAAUGUGUGUUGGGGAUCUCUUAUAUAUAUAUAUAUAUAUAUAGAGAGAGAGAGAGAGAGAGAGAGAGAGAGAGAGAGAGAGAGAGAGAUGCAGAUAUGCAGGGAUGCGCGUGUACAUUAUUAGUAGGGGAAUGGGGUUGUCGGUUUUGACAAUUUAGAGGUCAGCAAUUUUAAUGCAGAGGUAGGUAAUGCGGUUGUGUUGGCAUCUGAGAACGUGCAAGGUAGCACAUACUCCUAAUCUAGCUCCAUCGUAUUUUUAGGGCUAACUACAUUUCACACCUCAAGGGGAUGAAGUAAUUUUUUAUGGGAUAUUGAUGAUAGAAGUGAUUUUUUAUUUGGAGUGAAUUAGACGAGGAUUAGAGAUAUUGUUUUAGAGACCAUUAGAAUGGAUAAGUUUCUUUUAUAAGCAAUUCAUUUUCUACUCUCUAGUGUAGCAUAAAUUUUCUCUUUCUCCCCUCAAUCUACCUUGAAAUUAAAGAGUUAUCUAUUCCUUUCCAAUCCUUGGUGGCGGCUUUUGGAGAGAGCGAAAGGUGUCAUCGUAUAGGGUCCAAAAUUUAAAAGGGUUCUCCUCAUAGUCACUUCUCAUGAUAGCAAUGUUGGAGUAAGAUUAACUAUGUGGUUUAUUAAAAUUACACAUGGUUAUUUUUUCUCAUUUUUAUUCUUGCGUAUAAUAACCAUAUUUUUCCUCUGUUUUAGUUUAAACUCACUGACUAAGAUCCAAUUAAAUAAAUUUGUAGUGUAAAAGUAAAAUGUUAAAGUUUCACCAUAAAUCAAUUGACCAUAUAAAAACUUAACUUAUUUAUACGCGCAUACAAGAUCUCUUCUCUUAUUAAUGUGUGAUUCAUUAUCAAUAAUAGGUAUUGUGAAACUUGAAAGAAUUGUGAUGACCCACAUAGUAAAAGAUGGUGGAUGAAAUAGCAAUGUUGGUGAGAUAUUUGUUAUAAUUACUACAUGGCUUAUUGGCUUUUGACCAAUACGAUAGUCAAGACUUUUGAUCAGGCAUGUAAUGCUUUGUGUUAAAGCAUACUUUGUAAACUUUCAUAUCUAUACAUAGGGACUCUUGUAAACGUUAGAACACACCAAUUCAUUUUGGUAAAGGCAUUCUCACUCUCACUACAAUAAAAAUGAGCAACAGUCGCUAUUUUUUGUCACAAUUAUCACAUUGAUUGGGAUUGCUUCUUAAAAAAGUUUACGCAAUUGUAGAAAUAUGACUCCUUGAAUUAAUAAUUCAUAAUGGAACUUACAAUAUAUAUAAGGUUUGACAUAACCCAUAUGUGAAAGAAAUUCUAAAAAUUAAUACAAUUAUAUAAGUACAUUCAUAUAAUUAUGAAGAGGUUAUGGUUUAAUUAAUUCUAUUCUAAGACUGCGCCCCAUCCCCUGCAAAUUGAACGAGGCUAAUCAAACAAGUUGAUUAGUGGACGAAAUACAACAAACUUGAUGACUUCCAAGAGUGACCUUUUCACGAACAAAGUGAUAAUGAGUUCAAUAUAAUGUGUGCGAGCAUGUUGAACAGGAUCAGAAGCGAGGCCAGUGGCACUAAGAUUGUCUCAAUAUAGAAGGACAAGGAUAGGCGAACACCUAGCUCGUAAAGUAUAAAAAUAAUCUAAGUGGUUUCAGCACAUGCAUGAGAAAGAGCAUAGUAUUCUGACUCAGCACUGGAAUGUGACCUACUUUUUAGAGCACCAAGAGAUAAAUUUGAGCCAAGAUAAACAAGGUAGUCAGUGGUGAAAUGAACGAUGUCAAAAAAACCGGCCCAAUCAACAUCAGAAUAUGCAGAUAGGGUAGCGGAAGCAACCUGAUGAGUCAAGGUGAUACCAAAAUCUAAAGUACCUUUUAUGUAAUUGAGAAUCCAUUUGGCAGCAAUCAUAUAAGUAGUGUGAGGCGAGCUCAUAAAUUGGGCAAUAUUAUUGACGACAAAGAAAUAUCAGGACGAGUGAGAGUGAGAUACUAGAGCGAGCUAACUAGCUCACGAAACAAAGUAAGAGAAGCCAGGGUGACCUAUCAGAAGCCGUGAGAGAAAUCUUAGCGGCAAGGGGCGUGGAUGUGGGCUUGAACGUAAGUAUAUCAAAUUUUUUAAGGAGGUCAUGAGCAUACUUUAGUUGAUUAAUAUGGAGAUAUAAGUGGAGUCAAGAGUAACUUGUAUACCCAAAAAAUAACUGAGAGGACCCAAAUCUUUGAUGUUAAACUAUUUACCAAGGAGAGUAGUAAAUUGGCUAAGAAGAUCAUAUGAGCUGCCAGUAAUAAUGAUGUCAUCCAGAUAUAGUAGCAAGUAAAUAGUAGAGGAGGCAUGUCGAAAAAUAAACAGUGAAGAAUAUCCUUCACUCCACCGAAAACCGAGGCGAAACAAGAAAGAACUGAUUUUGUGAAACCAUGCACGAGGUGCUUCUUUAAGACCCAUGUAAUGAUUUCUGAAGGUGACAGACAUAAUGCGAACAAGCAGGAUCCGCAAAACUCGGUGGUUGAGCAAUGUAAACAUCUUCCUGAAUGCAUUCAUGCAUUAACAUUCAAUUGACGAAGUGGCCAAGCAUGAGAAAUAGCAAGACUCAAGACAGUGCAAAUAGUAGCUGGUUUGACAACGAGAUUGAACUUUUCAAAAUAAUUAAUGCCACGACACUGAUGGAAACCCUUAACCACAAGACGAGCUUUAUAGCGCUCAAUAGAGCCCUCAAGAUUCCACUUGAUACAAAAAGCUCAUUUGCAACGAACAAUAUUCUGGCCAGGUCGGGGCAGAACAAGAGACCAUGUCUGAUUGCGAAGCAAUACAUUAAUUUGCUCAAUCAUGGCACUGCACCAUUCCGGAUGCUUAGGGGCAUGAGAAAAACAAGUAGGUUCACCAUAAUUAAUAGACGCUAAGAAAGCAUAAGGAAGAACAGUGCCUCAGUACGAGUCUUCGGUUUGGAGAUUCCAUCACGAAGACAAGUCGCCAUUGGAUGAGUACGGACUGCACGGUGGAGGGGGUAGCAUCAGGGAGAGUCGGUUGGACCAUGUCAGAGGGCAUAGGCAGAGGGACACGCGCGCUAGGGCACGUUAAAGGCAACAUGCUUGGGCCGACAAGAUCACGUAAGGUGGGGUGCAUGGGUGUGUUCAACUGGAGUGGCGCUCAAUUGGGUUAUAAGAGGCAGCUAUAACAGUGACUUCUUGAGUUUGCAACGAAUGUAACUUAGAAACUAACACCAAUAAAGUGGCAUUGCUAGUUGCUUCUUGAGUUUAUCUUAAAAAGAAAGGGAGACACUGUUAAUAUCUAUUUCGCAACAGUUCUUUGAUUUGAGAGAGUUUGAGAGACUCUCUCUCGAGAGCCCGUUUGAGAGAGAGAGAGAGAAGGCUUCCCUCUCUAAACUUCUCUCCUUCCCUACGCUUGUUUUGUACUGCUGGUCGAUUUCUAUGCCACCCUUCGGGGCGGCUCUUCCUCCGUCGGUCGUGGCUGCUUCUUCACCCUUGGUGGUGAGCUUGUUCUGUGUUUUUCUUUUGGAACUUCAUAUUUUGUAUUUGGGCCAAGUGUUGGCUGCCUAGUUGGGUCUUUUAAUGAAUUUCUGUCUCACUACCAGAUAAAAAAAAAAAAUUCUUUGAUUUUGAUCGUAUAGGAUUCGAUACCGUUAAUUGUACAAAAUCGGAUAUAAGUUUAGUUGUAUAGGAUCCGUCGAAUUAUCGGAUCAAAUUGAGUUGCAAUAUUUUUCGUAUCGGAUCGGAUCAAAGAUAAGACGAUUCAGCCAAUAUCCAUCCGUUUACAACUCUAAAGCCAAGGUCAAUAUUGUAGUUAGAAUUGCAACGACAAUGACACCCUACUAUACUGCAAAAUAUACGACGUGGGUGUCACUGUACUAGAAAAGUUUAUGACUACGAAGUAAUGUUAUGACAGAAAAAUGCAUUGACAAAGGAGUUGUCUUUGUAGAGAAAAAAACAAUUGAAACAGUGACACGGACCACUUGCACCACUACGUUGCAACAUAGUGACCUCCUUGUCCAAACAAUUGUGAUUAAAGAAUUGUAAUGCAGAUGGCGCUUUAUCAGGGUGGUGAAAAGCAUCAGGUUUAUGCACUUUAGUGCAAAUUUGAUCUCCACUAACUCUCUUUCCUCUAAUAAUUAACUUCUAACCUACUAACGUUAUCGUUCAACUAAAAAAAAUAAAGAUAAAAAGAAUUGUGAUCCUUUGGUUGGAAGUUUAUGAGUGGUGGUGAAAUAAUACGAAGGGAAACAAUUGUAUGUCUUGUUUGGUUGGAAAGUUCCAAGUUAUGUGCACAAAACUUUGCCAUUUUUUUUUUUUUUUUGAUCGAAAAACUUUGCCAAUUGAAACUAGGGCUUUAAAUCCUUAGAUCCAUUUUUGAAACUAAGUUUGUUCAGAUGCUUCUGCGUCUGCCACUAUUUCUUUGGAUCAGUUAGACUUGGACUUCUGAUUGUUUUAGGGCCAAACUAAAAGUGCACAAGAUUAUGGAGCUUUUCAGGAUGGACAAUGCUUGUGUUUCUUAUAUGAAAACCUACUUAUCCCUGAACUUAUAAUUAAUGUCUUUUCACUGUUUACUUAAUGCAUAUGAAUGGUUUAACGAUUUUCAAAUUGAAUGACUUCUUGCAGAUAUGAUCUUUAGAAAAUGAUAAAGAGAAUGAACUAUUCUGGUUAUGAUGUUCAUUAUUUGAUGUAUAUGAAUAGCUAAAUGGUCUCUAAAUUUAAUAAAUUUGUUUGUAUAUAUGAUCUUUAGAUAAUGAUAAAGAUAAUGAAUUUUCAUCAAAAAAAAAAGUUAAAGAGAAUGAAUAUUUUCAAUUAUGAUAUUCAUACAGUAAAGAAACAUUAAUCAGUCAACCACAUAAAUUAAACAUGGAACAAAACCAAAACAUCAAUUACAUUGAUCCGAAAGGGGUGAAUAGGGUCAAAAUUUUCAACAUAUUACGUCACAUGUUCAAACCCUCCAUUUCUCUAUCUAGAUUAUAAAAAAAAAGGUUUUUAAGCCAAAAUAAUCCCUGAAAAUUGCAUCAUAUCACUUUGGUCCUUGAGAUUGUCCACCAUCCAUUAUUUUGGUCAUUCCGUUAAAAACUCCGUUAAGUGUCCUGGAGCUCUUGGUCGGAAGUUUGGGCAAUUUUCAAAGUUUCAUAACUCAAUUGUUUCAUAACCAAAUUCGACCCAUAAUAUAUCAAAAUGAAGAUAGGAAAGUUUAGAACAAGAUUAUACCUAUUUUGAAGCCCAGUGGUUGCUGAAGAUGGCCGGAAAUAGCCUGAAAGGUGACUGGUCCCCGGGAAAAUUGGAAAACUUGCCAGAAACUGGGUAAAAUUUAAACAUUCAUAACUUCUUCAAUACUUAAUGAAAUCGAGUGAUUCAAAAAUGAAAAUCAUACUUCUCGAUGAGACGAAGAGAAUGGCAUCUUUCUUGACAGCUAACUCAUCUUGAUUUGGCCAAAAAUUGCUCGAAAGUAGAGAAUGGUACAUUUCUUGACAGCUAACUCGUCGUGAUUUGGCCGGAAAACGGCUCAAAAGUACCAUUCUCUUUGUCUUGUCGAGAAGUAUGAUUUUCGUUUUUGAAUCACUCGAUUUUGUUGACUAUUGAAGAAGUUAUGAACGUUUAAAAUUUACCCAGUUUUUGGCAAGUUUUCCAGUCACCUUUCAGGCUAUUUUCCGUCUAUAUCUGGCAACUAUUGGGCUUUCAAAUAGGUAUAAUCUUUUUCUACACUUUUCUAUCUUCAUUUUGAUAUAUUAUGGGUCGAAUUUGAUUAAGAAAUGAUUGAGUUACAAAGCUUUGAAAAUUGUUCAAACUUCCGGCCAAGAGCUUUGGGACACUUAACGGAGUUUUGAAUGGAAUGACGAAAAUAAUGAAUGGUGGACAGGGACCAUUUCUAUUGAUUUUAUAGGUCAAAUUUGAUUAAGAAACUAUUGAGUUACGAAGCUUUGAAAAUUGUCCAAACUUCUGGCUAAGAGCUCCUCCAGGACACUUAACGGAAUGACCAAAAUAAUGGACGGUGGACAAUCUCAUGAAUCAUUUCUAUUGAUUUUCAAUUUCAGGAAUCAAAGUGAUGUAUUAUGCAAAUCUCAGAGACCAUUUUGGCUAAAAAACCUAAAAAUAAAUAUAAAAUAAAAUAAAAUAAAACUUGUAAAACAUAUUAACUUCCAAAUAAUGUUUCGAAAUUUCCCAAAUUACUCUAACUCCAAAGUUUAUAAAAAUUCUGAAUUUAAAAAUUAUGUUCCAACCUAGUCCUAGUCCGAAACUUGGGAUUGGAUAUUGGUAACACAUGGUUUCCGAUUCUGAAAACACCCGUACAUUGGCCUUAAAAUUUGACACUCAACUUAUAACUAAAAGGGUUCGAUUACGAAUGCAAUGCCAAUUUGCAUACAAAGUUUGAAACUGAAUGUGCUGCUUAAUACUAUAAUCCUGUACUUAAACUACCAUAUGGUGUAUUCUCACCUUCACCACCACCGACCUAAAAUGUUUCGCCCAGUUAAACACGUUGAGAUCAUGCAAAGGGUUGUAGCUUAAGUGUUUAGAGCCCUUUUGUGUAUCUGAAGUUUCGUGAUCGAUUCCACGCUCUCCUAGUAUCACUCGCAUUAAACACAAUGAGAUCAUAGAUAAGACCAGGUGGCUUGUGAAUCAAGCAAUUUUAUAUCAUCAGCUCCAUUCUCUUUUGACCCAAAUUUAGGCAAGAGAAAUGGGAAUGUCUACAAAUAAAUAUUGUAACCAACACUUUGAUAUAUGACAAGAACAAAGACAGCCGAAAUUCACACAAUAAUCUGUCACCUAUGAAUAUCUCCCCUUCAACUUGUUAGGAAAUCCGAAUAUAUCCAAAGCCGAGCAUCUUUGCCGUGAGAGAACAUACUUCAUAUUGCCUGCAGGAGAGGUCAACUAUUUCGGUACAGUACAUCUCUCACUUGUUGGAGAAUUAUUCUGCACCUCAGUGCUGCAAUAAACUCUGCAUCAUUAAACCUACGUCAUCUCAUUAGAUAAGCAAAACUGGGUAUUUCUUCAAACUUUCAGUGGUUACGGUUAGCUGUUUAGUACCUGACAAUACAAAAGGACGAUCAGGGAAAGGACCUUUAACGGUAGGUAAUCAAAGAACUAACCAAAUUUAGCUAUAACUUACAUGUUUCUCUGGUAUCUAGCAGUUGGUAAAAGCUCUUCAAUUUCGAUUUUCAUAUUAGAGCUAGGUGAUCCCCUCUUAUUUUCAUUCUCAUUAACUACAACAUCCACAAAAAAUGCUGCACACACUGGCCGAUGGUCAGAGAACCGAGACUCUCCACGUAUGUAAGAAAGUUGUCUGAUCCCAUUUCCAUGCCAUAGUAUUCUAUCACACCUGCAAUUUUAAACGAGUCAAAUAAACUUCUUUGUUAAAUGUCAAUUGGGUUCCGUAAGUACAAUCUUCCAGUCGACCUACCAAGCUGGUGUUCUUCUUUUCUUUUUCGAUGUUUUUAUCUCUCCAAAAUAUGUGUCUGAGUUAUAAAAGUAUUUGUAAGUAGGUGCAAAGUAGAUUUUCCCCUCUUUCCAUCCUUUGAAUACUCGCCCUGCUUCUCUUUCGAUCUUGAGCUAUAUAUGCAACCAAAAACAAACAAAAAUUAUUAGUACACCAUGAAAGAUUGAAAUGUGAUCUGAUAUGAUUGUACUUAUGUUGUACCUGCAGUUCCCAACAUAAAUUUCUUAUUCUUUCAUGGCAAAAUCAGUUACCUGAUCUUUGUCAAGAAGUGCAUCCCAGUUGUUGUCCAUCAAUAGCUUUUGGGUUUCAGAGUAGCUCAAAGCAAUGCGGUAAUUCAAGUCCCCUAACCAUAUGACCACACUAGAUCCAUUUGCAAAGAGAUUAAUCAGAUAAUUAGUGUCAAUAAAUGUGAGAAAAUAGUGUUGGAUUAUAAAAAGGGUUCAGUACUUUAAUAACAAGGUUGAAAUAUGCUUACUCAUGUCCUAGAAUUUUAUCCGGCAUCCUACUACGAGCUGUUUUGCAAAUCUUCGGAAACUGAGUGCUUUUAAGAAUCUCUAAAACAUCCAGAUUUCUCCUAAGCUCAUCGCCCUCUUUCUCCCCAGAUGCCAAGUGACUGCAGACAAAGCAAAAGCUUGUCUGAUGGAAUAAGAAGCUCACAGAUAUACAUCCCUGCAACCAGUAUACAAAAUCAUCUAUGUACUGUAAAAGGUUUUUUUUAUGUAUAACCGACAUCUGGUGCUUGUAAAAGUUUUAACAAAAUACCUUGUUUCCAAGUCCCAUUAUCCCGCGACUGAUGCAAGAGAUCCUCAAGUGGCUAACAUAUUGUAUAUACUCUUUCCUCGCCCAAAUAGUAACAAAAAUUCCUACCAUUUGCUUACUUGCUAUAAGGCCGUACUUCAUCUGGUUGGUAGUAGAGGCCAUGGAAAUUUCCGAUAUAUCAAAGGCAUUAGAUCCAUCCUCAUCUGGAUCUGAAGAAAGGUCGUCUUCAUUUAUGUUUGGUUGUUGGCACCGAAAACAAAAAUCUUUACUAUGUUUCCUUUCUAGUUCAAAAGGGCAGUUGCAACUCUUCAACCUCCGUUUGCUCUCUGUCCUAAAAGUCUUACUGACCUUUUUAAGGGAAGGCUUCGGGGAAAAUCGUGAACCACCUGCUUUGCUUCUUGAACACCCAUCAGGUGAUUUGUUUAGCGACUGAUUGAUUAAAGCGAGCCAUUUUGCUGCAGGUUCAUUAUCUUCCAGAACUAGUACAUUUCCUGCAUUUAGCGGAACAAUUUCCUGGAAACUGAUGGUAAAAAGCAGAAAAAUUAAUUAGAUGAACAAUCAAUAUCUUCUUCAGAAGCACAAACAAUAUGGAAUUACAUUUUCAUUUUAAAGGCUGUACCAAACUGAUAUGACAAAACAAAAAAUACACGCAGAAGAUAAAAAUUCACUAGUUUCUUUCUACAGCGAGUGUGCCUGUCCUUUUGACACAUUAUCAUACACUGUGACUCAUAUCAGUCCGAUGGUUUCAAAAACGAGUACCCAAAUGUACAAUUUCAUUUGAAAAAAUUGUCAAAAUAAUUUAUCCGUUUGAAACUAUAAAAAUCAAAGGCAAACACAAAGAAAAUGAAAAAAGAAAAAAAAAAGAGACCAUACCCCAAGACAUAUAUGUCUGAUUCAUUAUCAACCUGCAGAAAAUCAUCCAGAUUAAGGCCACUAUGAGGAGAUUUCCCUCCUGCAUUCCAUGUCGCCACAAAAACCCUGAAACAAAAAAACCGAGAAAGCAAAAGCCAAAAGUUAGCGCAUAUGCAUUCUUGUGAGCGGAUAGAAAGACGGAAACAAGAACCAGUUGUAGAAGAUAUUCCAAUUACCGAAAGGACUGAACAUAUUGACCGGCAGGCAUUUGAGAUCCUGUGUCACUUAUAGAUUGAAUGUCAACUGAUGGGUUAGACUGCCGUGCUUCUGAAAUAGGAUACAAUUACGUAAAGACUUCAUGGUAAGAUGUCAAAUUUAUAAGAAUUGUAGGCUAAGCAAGACAGAAAUUUUCUUUGGAAGUUAAAAAGGAAGCAGAGAGAGAGAGAGAGAGAGAGAGAGGUGGGGAUGAGAGGGACAUUUUUUAUGCUUGCUAGUUGCUACCUUUCUUGCAGUAGCUUAGAUUUGAAACAUGAAUAUAUUCUAAGAUUACAUUUCCAUGGUGCUCUCCCUCUCUCUGUAGCAAUCGAUAUCUUUCUUACCAAAAACGCCAUUUUAAGACCCCAAAUGUCUUAUAUGGUAGGACCAAUGUCCCUAUCUUACCAAACAGUUAAAGAAGAACAAAUCCAUUCAAAAAAAGAAGAGUAAAUCACAUCCUUCAAAAAGCAGAUGGGAUUCUAUUCUGCGGUUCCAAAAAGAAAGAUAACAUCAACUAUAAUAUAAGUCCCCAAUUGCAAGGAAUAUCCUCUCUCUCUCUCUCUCUCUCUCUCUCUCUCUCUCUCUAGAUUUUCUCCAUUGGAAAACAAUGGUGAUAAGUGAUUGAAUUGAAACCAGAAAGAAACACAUUUACUCACCUGAGAAAUCCGAAGAGCCGCUUCCUUCUUUCUCCUUUGUGGUGAAGAUUUUAUGAAUAAAAGACUGAAACAAAAGGGUAAACACAAAAUCCAAUUAAUUAACAAAAUCUGAUAAAAAAUCACCAUUCUGUUUGCCGAAAGAUCCAUUUUUUUUAUCUACAAAAUUGAAAAGAAGAAGAAUUUGGAAACAAAAAUAAGAAAAAGGAACCUUCUUUUUCACGUCUUGAUUGCUGACAGGCAUUCCGAAGGUGCAACUUUUUCAUCAACUGUUAUUCACAGACCUUCACAAACCUACAGAUAACAGAUUUAUACUGCAAUUAGAUCAAAACCUUCCAAACCGGAUAAUUAAAUUGCUCCUAUUUCUUUUAAAUCGUCAAAAAAAAAAAGAAGGAAAUUUCAUGAAUUGGACAAAAUAAAUUAUAGAUUAAAAACAAAGAGGACAACGUGAGAAUAUUUGUAAAAUAUUGAGAUUGAACAAACGAAUACAAUUCUCAGAGAAUAAGACUCUAGUUACCUACAUCCAAAAAAUAGCAUCAAAUACAAACACCCAAAUGCAAUUCAGUUUCAGAUGACAGAAUAAAUAGAACAUAAAUUACCAGAACUUGGUGAAGGAUGAGAUCUCUGUAAACUUAUAUAAAUAUAAUAUAUAUGUAUAUAUGUAUAUAUUUAUAUAUUAUUAUAAAGAAAGAGUGGCAAUGGCAACAAGAACAACCAACCCAUGAAACAAGUUGACAGGCAACAUGGGUUUUCUCGAGAAAGUCAACUGGACAAAGCGAUUCCCUGUUCCUUGCCUUGAUAAAAUAUUUGGAUUUGUUUGUUUAAUUUAUUUUUUAUUCCAGAAAAAAAAAAAAAAAAAAAGGAGAUGGAGAAUUGAACGUGAUAAGACUGGUAAGGAGACCUGCAUAUUCCAUAUGGAUGGCUUCAAACUUCCACCUCUUGUUCUUCCAUAGAUGGUGUUUCAAGAAAAGUCCUCUCCCUUUGUUUUUUGUUGAUGGACAAUACAAACAAAGACAAAUGCAAUAAAUAAUUUCACGAGCGAAACUUAUUAGUGUUUUUAAUAUAUUUUUAUUGAUUUUAAUAUAUAUAGGUUACGAUCCGGAGACAUAUCGUUUUUCACACAUUUUAACACUCAUUUGAUAGGGCUCACUUCUCAAUGUAUUUUAACGAUCCAAAUCGUCGGUAUUUAGUACAUCAUUCAUAGAUCAUCCUUGCUAAAAAUUUAGACAAAUCCAAAAUAAUUAUGAAAUUCAUUUAUAGUGAAAAAUGGUCGAAUACGGUUCUACAAAGAAACACUAAAUUUAAUCCAACCGUAUAGUUUUGGAUUUGAGUGAUUUUUAGUGUACAUAAUUUUUUAGGUAAGACAUAAAAAAUAGACAAUUAGGUCUUUGAGAUACACCAUUAGAUGAAUUCCACAAAAACUUGUGUCAAAAUAUAUGUUAAAAACGUGACCUUAUAUAUAUUAUUUAUUAUUUUUAACAUGUUUCUUCAAAAAAUUUAUAUAUCUUUUGAUAUUUAAAGCGUUAUUUGGCUUUGCAAUUUUUAUUUUUGUUUAGAAUUACUUUAUUGAAACGAAAAAGAAAAUAACAAUUCUCAAGUAUUACAAUUUCUUUUUCAACUAAUUUUUGGUGACAUUUAAUAUGUUCUUAAGAAAGCAAAUUUUCUAUCAGAAAGUGAUUUUACACACUUUUUAGCUUUUCACUUUACUCUUUAUUUUUGGCAAUUGAAUUGAGUAAAUCAACGGAUAUGAUUAAACAUAUGUGUUAGAGGUUUAAAAGAGUAUACUUAUAUUCCCUUUUUUAGCCGAUGCUAGCACUAGUAUUGGUCUUCAUGUAAAGACACUUGCAUUUGAGAUAUGUGUGUCAAACUAAGGCGAGAUUUGUUUUUCUAUUUGAUUCUGGUUAUACUUGUGGUUCUUUUUAUGGAAGCUUUCACUUUUUGAUAAAAUAAAAAAUAUAAAAAUAUAAAAUAAAAACAGUUUAUAACAAAAUUAAGUAUAACAAUCUGAAGAAAUAGAAAGGUUCUGCAACUCAACUUAAAAAAAAAUGAUAGCAAAAAAAACACGACGUUAAAUAUAUGUAAAUCUUAUCAGUCACUAAUUCCGACAUAACUCUUCAUAUAAAUUUAAACACAAAAAUAUACCAAAUAUAAUUAUAUAAUGAUGAGGGGGGUCAAAAGAAAGAGGGGGAAGAGAAGAUUGUGAAAUGUCCCAUCAAAUAAAGUCCAGACACAAUUGGAAAUUGGGAUUGGGAUUUGGGAAGUAAUCGUUGUUUUAUGUCAGUUUGUACUUUGUUUUCUUCUCCGGAAGAAAGUUGGUUUUGAAAAUCCCGGAUCUCUUUCUUCUAAUUUAUCAAAUUAGAGAUUCUGUAUUACUAAAAUUUGAUCAAACAGUUGAAAUCAUUAUAAUUUCUAAAGUAGAUUCAUGUUUAUAACAGUUAAAUCAAAUUUCAAUGACACGAAUUUUCUAAUUUAGGAAAUUAGAGGAAGGAAACGGAUCCCUUUUCUCGAAAAUCUACAUGCUACUUGUCUCUUCAUCUCUCGAAUAGUUGAACUGUUAUAACGAAAUCAUCAACGGAUCUAUUUUUAAAUGAGAAAAAAUCUAUUUGGUACUUUGUUCUUAAAUUUUAGCAGAUUAUGGUCAUGGUUUUCGUGCGUCCCACUUUCUAGUUCAUUAAAACUUGAUGGGUGAGAGAAACGAGGGGGAGGGGUUUAUUUAAUGUCUUUUUUAUUUUUAAUUUUGUGUGACAGAGGAAAAAGAGGCCCCACGUGUGUAUGUGUGUGUCUCCGUCAAACAGUCAAACUUGGGAGGCUUUGUUUGUGGGUUAUGGUUUCCUGGCUGUACGGCAGGCGUUGCCACCGCUGCCGCCAAUAUAAUAACCUUAAUAUUCCCUUGGCCGGUCCCAGGUUUGGGCUUUUGGGGCUCAUCGUGCACUUUGCCAAUUGUCAAUCUUUCUUUCUUCACGGUUAAACUACAUUUUACAUAACGUGGAAAAUGUUAUGGAGAUUUUUAUAAAAGUAGGACUCUCCAUAGAUACUUUGGCGCCUCAUUGUUUACACAAUUUUAGUGUUGACAAUAUAAAGUUUUAUGCUUUAAAUAUGAGGUGACGGAAAGUUUUAUUUUAAGAGAGUCUUGCAUUUCUCUUUAUCAAAAUUUAAGGUCAAUCUCACGAUGGACUAUGAGGUUUUGAUUUUCAUAUAGCACCAUGAUAAUUUUGAAUAACUUGAGCCACUUUACACCUUUUUGUUAGGUUGACUGUUGGAGGGUGAGUCUUAGCUCGGAUUCAUGAGCAGUUAAUGGUUGACCAUACAAUCAACUUAAAUUGAUGUAAGUUGGAGGAAUGUCAAAAGUCUAGUUGUAAUGUGAAAAUUUUGAUAUUAUGUGAUCUGAUUUGUAUUAAAACUCACACCAAACCUCAGUUGGUUAAGAUGCAUUUAGCCCUUUUAUGGUUGUGGAGACCGAUUUACACUUGCGGACAAAAGGAGGACCGCACUAUUGGCGUUUUCUAGUGUUGGAAUUUCAAAUAAAAAAUAGUCUAAAAGGACAAACCAACUAACUUGAUUUGUCAAUAACUAACUAAUCUCGAUCGAUAUUGUACUGAAAUCGAUCUGGUCAAACGUCGAACAGGUUCUCAAAUCAUGAAUAGUCAGUAAAGUAGAACCAAUUUUAAACUGUCAGUAAAAUUGAACCAACUGACUCAAUUUUAAAAUGUUCAUAUUUUAAUGUAGAACUAGAACCUUUUGGACUGAAAUUGAGCAGAACAAAAACUUCCAAUACAACUUUUGCAUUCUUAUAUGGAACCAAACUAGUUCUAUUUGCUCCACAUUUCUAGUCUUUUGUUUUCGUUCCCUAGUUCUAUUGGUCUUGGGUUUGUCAAGGGCAAAGCCUUUGGACCACGUAACACAGCUUACAAGAAAUGGUUGUCGACUGUUUAACCAUAAAAUGCUAAGUAUUGGUUUUAGGAAGAAGCUAAUUAAGCAUACAACAAAUGUGUAAAUUUGAUGGUACCAAAAACAAUGUCGAAAAAAGGAAGAUCAAUUUCUUCAAGGCUGGCAAAGCGAGGGAGGGGGCUCCCAGACAACAUGUUUUGGACUCAACAUUUUUGUACUUCAAACUUGAAGCUGCUGGAUCCCAUUCCCCACACACACUUCUCAAUAUUUGAAUAUAAUGUUUAAUCUGCACUUUUGACUGUGUUUGGAUCUAAUAUCUUGACUAAUUGUGCCUUAUGUUAAGUUUGUGAUGGAUUAUGGGUGUGAUGAGGAUUUUCAGUUAUAUAAUUAUUUAAAAAGAGGUUAUUCAAUAAAUUUAUAUAAUGUUUUCUGAGUAUGCAAAUAUGAUGGUCGUGAUGAGACUGAAUAGUAAUAUUGUCCCACAUUAUAAAUUUGGAUCAUAUCAAGGACAUAUACUUUUAACACGUCAUUCUAUAAUGUAUUUCAACGAUUCAAACAUCUAUUUUUAGGUCUUCUAAAAGAAUAAUAUGAUUUCUCUUUGAAAGUGGAUAAAUCGAUAACAUUAGAUAAAUGAGCUUGUUGUCUCCAAGUCCCAAACUUAGGACCCAAUUCCGAAAAACACCAUACCUUGAAAUGGUUUGAUAACUCUUAAAGCACCAUAUUCUCUUACAAGUCGAAUUUUAGGGACAAGUUCUACUCAUGAACUCUAAAUUAUAUCCACUCCGCCGGUUCUCUAGUCCUCUCUUUGCCGUUUUGUUGCUACCCUAUUCCAAACCUUUUGGACCACAAUAUUGGCAACAAGAAAAAAGGGUGGUCAAAAUAUAGUUCAAUCAAUCAUAUUAUUAAGACUUGCUUUCUAUUUACAGCGGAAAGGUGCAGAUUCUUUGAAAAAAACCAGUGAGUGAGAAGACCCUUCUGGUCCCAAAGCAUCAAACAUACUAUAUAUAUAUAUAUAUAUAUAUAUAGUGUGUGUGUACAGACACAUAUAAUAUACACAUAUAAUAUAUUCGUAACCUGUAACACCAAUAAUAUUCUUACUUUUUGGUUUUACAUUCUAGCUUAUUAAGCAAUACUUGCAAAAAAAUUAUGUGGUUUGCGAUUCAAUUUAAAGCUUCAGCCUUGUAGAAGGUACGUGUUAUGAUUUAUUUCUUCAUUUGCAUUGUCCACGAUAUUGAGAGUGCUGUUAAGAAUAAACCUUCAUUGUGACAGGCUCGCCUCAUGACUCAAAUGGUUAAGGACGUUGACUCUUGUAUUCGAGCUCAUGUGUUUGAACUCUGUCAUCCGAAAAUAUCACUUGUAUAUAAACAAAACAAAGAACCUUUUGACUACGUACCAUGCAACAUAGAAAGUAGAAAAACCCUUCAUUCUUUUUCCCACGUCGAGAAACCAUUCUUUCUAUCAUCUUUAAACAUGUUUUUGGGGGCUAGCAUUUUAAUUAAUUCAGUCAAACCCAAAACCAAAGCAUCAAAGACCAAAAUAUGCUUAAAGGUUAAAUCUUGAAACUAAGACUAGGUUUCCGUUUCAAGCGGAAAGGUGCGAAGUUUUUUGGAAGGAGCCGAGCCAGUCAUCGCUCAUCAGCUAGUGAGAUUUAUAGUCUUCUCUUCUGGUCCCAAAGCAUCCAAGAUAUCAUUACGUUCCAAAUAGUAGGGAUUACUUUAGGCAUUUAGGGGGAAGGCUAAGCAUACAAAACGUAUGGGCAUUUGAUAUAAAAGGAAGAGCAUGUUUCCUGGGUUGUUACUUUAGGCCUUAAGAGGCAAUGCACGCACCAAGAAAAUUAUAGUUUCUGGAAGAUAAAAGGAAGAACAUUUUCGAUUCUUUUGGUUACAGUAAUGGAUGGGCCGAAACAUUAUAACAAAUAAAAUGAUCUACACAAGAGGUAGGCUUUCAAAAGCAUGAUAACAUACCCAGCUACUCUAGAUUAAAGUCCAAAUAAAGCAAGAUUAUCGGCUAGAAAAAUCUCGUUCACAAUCCAAGACAUAUAGUCAUCCAUCAAAGCUAUUCUGGUAUGCGUAAUAAACAAAUUAGCAAAACUUCUCACAUUUGUGCUUUUGAAUUGAAGCAUUCGAGGUUUAUGAUUCAGUUCAAAACUUCAUCUACAUAAAAAAUGUUCUAAAAUAUGAUAUAAAACAGUUAUAGUCAUUAGAGGGAUCUAGAUAUUAUACUUCAAAGGUUGGAACCCAUUAACCACGAAGGUUUUUCUAAGUCCAAUCUGAUGAAUCUUGAGGCAAAACUUAAGAUUUGGAUUUUGUUGGUGGAUUACCAGACUCUUUUGGUCAUUUACUCACACCCCUUCUUUUAGAAUCUUAAAGGAAAAGAAGAAAAAGGAAGAAGAUGCAAGGAUUUGACGUUGAUGUGUGAAACAAGGGAAAGAGGAUUUGUUUUGUUUUGUCCCACAUCGACCAGCUGAGCAUGAGCACCAUUCUUUAUAUACCUGACACGUGUAGACUUGAUCGCCGAGUUCAGUCGCGUGAACUUGUGACCCAAGUGGGGGCACUAAGGAUGGUUUGGAAACGAUUGAGAGGUGGACAACCUACGGUACGUGUGGAUCCAUUUGAGGGGCUUAGUGGGCCCUUGUCGGCGUGCCGAUGUGGACCCAGGUGACACAGGUGUUCGCGCGCGUGGUAUGUAAGAGAAGCGGCCGCCCUGAAGCGUAGGCCGGAGCCGCUGGCCAGAAGCACAGCGGAUACAGUUGUUUCCGGCCACUGUCGAUAAGCACAGCGGCGGCGAUACAGUCCUUCCGCCUUGUAAAAGAGUAGCUGGAAGAUUUCUUUACCUCAGUGUUGAGUAAAGCCCGUUGGCUUAUCAGAGCAACGGGGGCUCUUACUGCUGAACUCCUCCCUCCGCAAUGGAUCACACGCCGGCACCCCUCAUCUGUCCCACACCACCGUAGGACCCGCUCCUCAAUUCCGACCUCCAUCUUUUUUAAAUCAAUUAUUUACCCAACAUUUCCUAUUUAUUUAACGUUUAAUUUUGUUUUCUACAUACUUUUUUAUGACAAAAUACAUAAAAUUAAUUGACAAACUAACUAUUCGAGAGAAAGUUUAAAGGGCUAAAAACAAAAUUCAGGUCACUUAUUACAAAUGGUCUUAAUAACAUUAAAAAAGUCUACACUAAAAAUUGUCAUAAAAACUGAUCUACCUUUUCAGAAUAAUGCAUAAGUUAAAAAAUCGAUCAACAUCGUCUCUGAAUAUAAAUCGAUAAAUCAAUGUUGUUUUUUCAAAAUUUCGUAAAAACUUCUAUUACUAAUCGAAAAUGACAUACUCACCC
rnacentral:lncRNA from 1 species